ACUUACAUAGCACUCGUACAAUCGACUUGACAAGCAACAGAAAAGUACCCAAUUAGUGUAGAAUCAAGUAUCAAAGCAAACAAAAAGGUAAAAAUAUAAAAAGAAAAACAAAGGAAAUAAAGAACAAGGAAAGAACAAAAAGAAAAGAAAAGAAAUGAUAGAAUUAGUUAGAAGGAUUUAAAUUAACUACCAACCAGCCUCCCGACGUUUAACAAAAAUAUUUCUCUAUCGCAUAUAAUGGGUUUUGAACUUGGAACCAAAUAGAAUACAAAUAUAUGCUUAACCAGUGAACCAACAGGUUCAUUCUUAACAUAAAUUUACACAGAAUUGCACUUAACUAUAUAACACGGAUAGGGGUUUUUUUUAAAAACAAAAAACAAAACUUCUAACAAUGCGACUCGAACUCCCAAUUUUUAACACAAUAGAAGAACACAGAAUCACAGAUACAAAAUUUUAAUUACUGCAGAUUCUCACAAUUAAAUUCUCAAAUUUUUAGGGCGUUACACCACCACCCUAAGCUCUCAACAAUGGACCUGUUGACUCUCAUCCAGCACUCAACUGUAUGAUUAUUCAAUCACAAAGCAAUAUUUAUAAACCAAGAAAAAUUAGUCAUUUUAAUACUACUCUUUUCCAAUUACUUUAAGGCACAAUGUGUGUUUUUCCGUAAUAAAACACAUUUCCAUAGAAAAUUAUGUCUCUUUAUCUUGAUACUUUUCCAUAAAAUUUAUUAUUUAUAUUAUUUAUAUUAUGUAUCUCUUUGUAAUGUGGGAACACUAACAUUGGAAACUAUUAAUAGAUUUUAUUAACAAAUUGAAGCACCAACUGAAGUUGUAAAUGAUUCAAUCAUUAAGUCAAAAGAGAUGGUCAAUAGAAAGAAAAUGGUAAUGAUUAAAAUAAAAUAAAAGAGUUUAUAUAUCAUUAAAAUAAUUAUUAAGUAUAUUUAAAAUUAUCAUUAUAAAUAUUUAUAUAUGUGGAGUGUUUCUUGCAUUUUUUGUUCAAAUUAGAGUCAAAGUAGAGGCGACGUUGCAAUGAGGAAUCACGCGACGUCGCAACGAAUCGACGACAUUCGAAACAGAGGCAAUGUCGUGACGAUACGACGAGUUCCAAACUUAAAGUAGUUACGUAUUAGACUAUCAACAAGGUUACUUUUCCUAGUUAAACUCUGAUUACAUUAGAGAUAUUAUAGUCAUAUUAGAACUCUAAUCUUAGCCUAUUUAAAGGGCAAUAACAAUCCUAAAAUCGGAAGAACAUAACACAGCAUUAGAGAGAAAAUCAAGAGAGAGUUUUAGAGAGCUUUAAGGGAAUUUUGUGUUUUUAGCCACUGAGAGCUUUGUAUUAUGGGUUAAGGUUUGUUUUGAAUUUCUCCAUCUUGAAUUCUUUGUUUGUUUGCUCAUUAGUGAAGUCUCCUUUGCCUAUGGUUUUUUAUUCUCUUGAUUGGAGGGAUUUUUCCACGUAAAUUUGUGUGCCUAGUUUUCUCUAUUCCUUCUUUCUCGUUGUUUAUACGGGUUGAUCCCCAACAAUAUUUAGUAUUUUAUUAUUUUAUGUAUUUUUAUAAUUUUUCAUUGAAAAAAAUAUAAAUGUUUUAAGUUUUUUUUUUCAAUUUUUGAAUUUUUUAGAAUUAAGAUUAAAUUGUUAGAAUGUGUAAAUAUUAAUACCUAAACUUGUUAAGUUUUUAGAAUUAGGAUCAAAUUGAUAGAAUGUGUAAACAUUGGAGAGAUAAAUUCAUUAUUAUGCCAAUAAAAAAUCACAUCAAACUUCCCUUAACUAUUUAAAGACAGAGUGACAAAAAAAUCAAACUUAAAAAAUGUUAGUGACUAAAUUAAAAAAUUUUAUAGUUGACAUUUUCUUUAUUUCUAUUCAUAUUCAUUUUACAAUACAUAUAGGAUUGUGGGUACCUCCCAACAAUGUUGUUUUCAAUGUUUAAACUUGUGUUCUUCUCUUAUGAAUACAAUAUGUCUUACCACUCCACCAAAAACAUGUAUAUAAUAGUAAUAAACUUUUUUUUCUCUCCAUGCGAUGCACGAGUUGCUUGUGUGUAUUAAUUAAAAUAUAUGUAAAAAAUAGAAUGUCAGUAAUGACAAUAUAUCACAAAGAAAAGAGAAAUAAAAAUAAAGAACACACCAAUUUUUACGUGGAAACCCUUUUGGGAAAAAACUACAGGUAGAGGAGAAAAAAAUUCACUAUGUCGAAUUCGAAUGAUUACAAGAGGAGUAAACUAUGUCUAUUUAUAGGCUUUGUAAAACCAUAUUCUAAUAGGAGUGUAGUAAGAUUGAAACACCUUAUUCUAAUCAAUAUCAAAUAGAUAGAGUUUAAUAAGGUUUAAAAAACCUUAUUCUAAAAUAAAAUAAAAGAAGUAUAAUUCUAUAGGGAUUUUACUUUUAUUUUAUUUUACCACUGUAUUCUAUUUAAAUAAGGAUUCGGGUCACUUAAUUCUAACAAUAUAUUAUAUUAAAUUUUAAAAUUUAUACAUAACAUAUUAUAAAUAUUAUUAUUAAAAAUUAAAAAUAAUAUAAAUAUUUAAUUUUGUAAUGAUGAUAAUUUAAAAUAUAAUCAAUAUAAUUAAAAAAAAAUUUAAUAAAAUAAAAUAGUUAAUAUUACUCUCAAUUAUGAUUUCCGCAUUACUUAAAAAAAAUGCACAACUAAUGGAAAUAUUUGAGUACAAAAAUCUGAAUAUUAGGAUAAUGAAAUUGUUUAGCAAAAGUCAACAAUGAUUAAGCAUUGACACCCAUAAACUUAAAGCAUAAUGAAUGGGGUGUUUAAAUUUAAUUUUUUUAACAUUUACUUGUGGAAAAAAGUAUUAACCAAUUAGGUAAAUAUUCAAUUUUCAGCGUAUUUAUUUAUUUAAUGUAAUGCUUUGUAAUUUUUUUACUACAAACCAUAGUCAUAGGGAAUACUAACAUAUUCUUAUUCAAAUGAAAAUUUAAUGCUUCAUUAAGAUAAUUUUAAGCAUUUAAAUGUUAAAUUAAAUUAUUAUUCAGUUUACAACUUUUAACAAUACGUACACAUUAAUGUGAUAAAUGUCAUGUUUUAAAUAUGCUACAUUGAAUUAGCUGCUUAAAUUGUAAUUGUAUAUAUAUGAUGUCAUCUCCUACCGACUUAAGAAAAACUCUCAAAUCCAAAAUAAAUUGAAAUCUAAAUCUAAAUACAAAUAUGCUGAAACCUGCUUGUUUGCACUUUAAUGGAUCUUAUAAACUAGUUGUGGGCCUGUAUGUAUCAAACCUCCUUAUCCAAAUGCAAAAUAAACCCUAAUUCAUUUAGAAAUAAGUACAGAGAGAUCUGGUUAUAAGCUUCUUAAGAUGGAGGACGCCACAUAUGCCCCAGAAAAAAGUCCAAAGGCAUCGCUUGGUACUUGGUACUCCCAUUUCAUUCUUUUGGUGGUUUGUUUCACUGAGUUUAAUCUUAAAUGGUUCCUUAUUCACUGUUAAUUUCGAAUCGUCUAUUUGGUUUCAACAAUCAGUGAUUGGCCGUGAUGACACAAAGGCCGGACUUACGGCUGCUACUGCUCUUCCCUUGUGUGGUAGUAGUAUGAUGUUUGUUGUGAUAAGGUGUUUGUGCUGAGCCACUUUUCUCUCUACGCUUUCUCUAUUUUACUUGAGAUAUUUAUACUGUGGAUUUCUAGUUUGAAUACAAUUUUUUUGGUUAUAGUAAACAUGGGUUUGUUUUUGGUGAGCCUGCCCUGAAUUUGUGUGGGAUUCCCUUUGUAGUUCUAGGAAUUAGUUUACCGAUUCUACAACUGACCCUUGAAGAAUUAAGUAUUCCUUCAUUUUCCUCAUCUUAUGCAGCUGAUCAGCAAUGAUUCCUUUUAGGCUUGUUCUCUUCUGAACUUCAAAUUACAUCCUUUAUAAGAGAUUUGGUCAAGCUAUUGUGUAGGGUUUGUAAGAUUUUGCAUUUUAUUGGCUUUUGCAUUGCAUCAUUGACACAUGGUUCCAUGUAAAUUCUGAUAUUUCAACUUCUAACAAAGCAUUUUUGGCUGUGCCUCAAUGCUAUGUAUGGAACACUACUGGUGUUGUUUUGCCUGCUUUUUUGUUUUUACGAAUUAUGUUUAAAAGCCUUGUUUUGCUCUCAGUCCAGGAUCAGCAGUUAGACAUUUAGAUCACAUCGAUGAAUGUAGGUCUUGAUAGUUGUUGAUUCUUUACAUGCAUAGAAGCUAAAGAAAAAAGUUCCAAUUGAAUUGCCAUGUAUCUUUGUCACAAAGACAUGAUUUUUCCUACAUUUGUAGAGUGUAUGAGUUGCAAUUAACUACUAUCAUAAGGGCAAACCAUGCAACUAUUACCUGCAAAAGAAAAUGUAAGAGCAUUUGAAGUGAUGACUGCAUUCUAUAGCUGAGAAUGCAACAAGGCCAUAAGAAACAGUUUGUUCAACUUGAUAAACAUCAUAACUUCUCUUGUUCCUAUGUGAUGAUUGUCUGUGGAAGAUUAGACCUUUAGAGUUGGCAAUACUUAGAAGGUUAUUGUUCCAUUUAAUAUUACUCUCAAAGUUAGGCACCUCUGUUGAUUUCAAUCCUUCAUGAAGUUUAACGGACGAUCCGAAUAUCCCUCAAGUCCUGGAUCUUCAGAAAAGGACCGACCAAAGUCUCCAUGCAUUAGAAUUGAUAUGGAUAUCAAAGAGGGUCAAACAAUAACUAGAUGUUAACUUUGCAAGCAACCUGGUCUUGUUGGAAAAGAAUACACCGAAAUGUUCUGCAAUUUAAUGCACAAAGGUAAAUUUUAUUUUAAUGCUUAAGCCAUGAUCAUUUUAGUUAUUUUAUAUUCUCUGGUCUUAUAUGUCAAUAUGCAUAAUUUUUGUUAAACGAAAAAUAUGUACAAUGCCAAAAAAAAAAAAAGAUUAUUAGAUGUAUUUUUUCGCUAUUCAUAAUUCUUCUUUUCGUUCAUUUAUCAAUUGGCUUACAAGUUAUCCUACAAAAUUAGCUGGGGUGGUUAUUUUUUCUGGUUCCAGAAAAAUUCAAGAUUAUCCUUUGAAUAGAUUUAUUUUUAUUUUUUAUUAUCUUAUAUCAACCUGUUUAUAUAAAAUGUAAACUGACAAGAAUUGUUAUUGUUUUAUUUUGGGAUAAUGUCACUUUUGAUACUUGUACUUUCACAAAAUAUUUAAUGUGAUAUUUGUACUUUUAAAGAUGUAUAUGUGGUACUUAAACUCAAUAUAUGUUUUAUUAUAAUACUUGUCCUUUCGUAAAAUGUCCAAUGUGUUACAUGUACUUUGAAGAUGUCUAAUGUGGUACAUUAAUUAUCAAUAUAUGUUUCAUUAUGGUACUUAUUAACAACGAUAGUAAAUUGCUAAAUUAACCAAUAAAAAUGUGACACAAUCUUUUUUCCAAAUCAUAAAGACUACAUGAAUAAUUUAACAUUAUGCAAAAAAUUAAAUAAAAAAAUUAAAAUUAAAAAACAAGUAACCAUAUGGUUGAUAAAGAAAUAAGUAAAUAGUAAACUUACAGAAAAGUACAUGUAUUUUCAUGGUAAAAAAAAUCAUUUCAAAAAGGAAAAUUUUAUAUAGAAGAUGAUGUUUUUGUUUAUGUAAGUUUAAUGUUUAUUUCCUUUUUAUUAAUUGUAUGAUUAGUUAUUUGUUUUUUUAAUUUAAUUUGAUGUGUUUUCUUUAUUUACUUUCUCACAUAAUGUUAUAUUAUCUGUUUGGACUUGAUGAUUUGAUAAAAAAAUUACGUGUUGAAUUUUCAUUGGUUGGUUUAGAAAUUUUCUAACAGUGCUAUUAGUAGGUACCAUAAUAAAACACAUUUAUAAUUUGAGUACCACAUUGAACAUUUUAUGAAGGUACAAGUAUCAUAAAAAAAUACUUAUUAAUAGUUUAGGUAUCAUAUUGAAUUUUUCAAAGUAUAGAUACUAUAUUUUUGAAAGUAUAAGUACCAAAUGUAGCAUUAUUCUUUUUAUUUUUUAUUUAUAAAAAGCUUACACCACACGGAUUUGUUUGUCUUGGUACAUUUUCAACUAUCUAAAAUAUUAUUUUCGAUAGUCUUUUUUUUUUCUCCGACAUCAAACUAUUUUUUUUUGUGACUUCGAAGAUAAAAAACAAACACAAAUUACAAAUACUAGCCCAAUUCCCCAAGUGGAGAUACUUCAAAAAUUCACAACUCAUGGCUUUCCCUAUGUACCAGCUUGACCAGUCUGUCAGUCUCCUGAUUGUCUUCUCUAGAAAUAUGUGAAACACUCCAAUGAUUAAACUGUGUCAGCAAUUGAAAAAUCCUCUUUAUCAAGGUCGAGUUAAAUCCUUCUGUCAGACUCUUUUGAAUAAUCUUAAUUGCUUCAAGACUAUCAGUAUGAAUAAUCAUGUGAUCAUAACCCCGAUCAAUUAAAGUACCUAAAUCAUCCAAGAUUCUCCAUAGCUCAGCCUCAAACACUGAGCAGCUCUCCAAGAAUCUAUUGAAGCUAAAAAUUCACUCCCCAUUUCGGUUUCUCACAAUUCCCCCUGCAGCAGCAGAACCACUUUCAUAUAUGAUAAAGCCGUCAUUAUACAAACACGCCUAGUUCCCAACCAAAUGUAUAGAAGAAGUCAGAAUUUGAGUCGAAUAAUUUAAAGUCAUACCAGAUGAGGCAAAAUGUUUGGCCCAACAAUGAGAAACUUUGAUGGACUCAACAUUACUCCAAGAAACAUCUUGGAAUAUGAAGAUAUUACGAUUCUUCUAUAUACACCAAAUAAUAAUCCCAAAAAAGCAUUGCCAAAUUAUGAUGAUUUUGUAAGUUUGAGGUGAGCCAGUCCUACAGAUUGUUAGAAUAAAAUGUCUUGUCAAUCAAUGGGAAUUAAUAGAUUCUAAAUGUUACACACUGCAUUACAGUCCCUGAUAGCAUGCAGUACAUCUUCUGAGAUAUGUCCACAAACCCUACACAAUGAACUGUGCUCGAGACCUCGACGAACCCUUUCCACAUUUCUCAUCAGCCUCUACUUGAACGCAAGCCAAAUGAAGAAUCUAACCUUCUGGGGUCCUUGAAACUUAAAAGGAAAAGUGCUACACAUCCUACUUUGGUUUCCAAGAUGAUUCCCAAAGUUUACCAUAUGCUUUUAACAGAAAAGGAGCCUGUCGAGGUACUUUCCCAUAUAAUUCUAUCAGUACCUACUGCCAAAUGCGAUGGGGGAAUCCCUAUAAUCUUACAAAUUAUCAUCUUAGGCAACCAAAGUUGAAACAAAUCUAGAUUCCAAGUGCCAUUACCAAGAACCAUAUCACUCAAAACAUAGUCCAAAUCAAGGUUCAUGUGACUAGGAAUCAUUCAAACAAGAGGCCCCACACCUAGUACCCACGAAUCCUGCCAGCAUCUGACACUUUUCCCAUCUCUCACUAACCAAAGCAGAUUCUCCAAGUAAGUGGCCAAACCUUUAUAAGGGCUCUCCACAAAAACAAUCAUCUGUUGCGCGAUAAUGAGUCGGGCAAACUUUUGCAACCUCAUAUUUAGCUCGGAGAAUCUAGACCCAAAGAGUUUUAGAAUCUGUCACAAGUUUGUACCUUAAAUUCAUUAUAAAAGACGUGUUAGAAUCUUGAAGCUUCCGAAAACCAAGACCUCCAUGAUCUUUAGGCUGAUAGAUAUCUUCCUAGCUAAUCAAAGCCAUUUUCUUGCCACUACUCGAAGAUCCCCAAUCAAAUUGAUACACCAUAUGUUCAACUUCCUCACACAAACCUUUGGGUAUCAUCAUUGACCGCAUAAAGUAACUAGGGAUCACCAGUAAGACUGAUUGAGCCAGAGUAGCCUUACUAGCUAGAGAUAACGAGCUUGCAUCCCAACAUCACAAUUUGCUCUGAACCUUGUCAACAACAAACCACAAAGUGUUAUUUGUUACUUUUUCAUGGAACAAGGGCACAUCCAAAUAUUUCCCAAGAUUUUGGACUUUUCGAAAGCCAAGAAGAUUGCAAAAUCUAUCCCCCAUAUCCUCACACCAUCUGAAAAAAAAAUAUUAGUUUUAUUAGCAUUAAUCUUAUGUCCAGAAAAAACAUAAAAACUAUCUAGGAUUCUCUUCAGGACUGUGGCUUGAUCCUCUUCUGCUUGGCCAAACAAAAUCAGACCAUCUGCAAAAAAAUAGGUGAGACAGGGGAGGACCUGAUUGAGCCAAGUGAAUAGGCAUUCAACACCUAGAAUUGACACUCGAAUGUAUAUUGUGGUCGAGCCAUUCCAUACAUAGAAUGAACAGGUACGGUGAAAGUGGACACCCUUGACGUACCCCUUAGUUGGACGGGACUUCUGUGUUGUUGUGUCAUUCCACAAAAUUUGCAUGGUGGAAGUUUUGAUAGCUAACAUAAUAACAUUAAUUAAAAAAUUUGGAAUACCUGCAGCUUGGAGAGAUGCUUCAAUAAACUCUCAUCGCACACGAUCAUAGGCAUUCUCAAGAUUAAUCUUAACUGCAAACCAGUUAAUAGACUUUUUCUUAAUCCUUAUAGAGUGAAACACUUCCUGAGUAAUAAUAAUAUUAUUUGUAGUGCUCCUUCCUGUAAUAAAACCAAUCUACUCUUGGCUGAUAAUUUUUGAAAAAACCAACUUAAACGGAUUGACAAUGAUCUUCAUCACCAACUUAUAGAGAACCGAGCACAAACUGAUAGGUCAAAACUGAGAAAAACAUUUUGGAGUUUGAAACCUUUGGAAUGAGAACAAUUAAAGUAUUGUUGAGCUGCGGGUCCAUUUUUCCCCUAGCAAAGAUAUUUUUGAUCCAUGCACAAUGUAACACCCCGAAAGUUGCUACAGUAAGAAAGUGAGAUAUUAUCUUUGAUAUAGUAAAAUAAGAAAAUAAAAUGAAAAAAAAGGGAAAAGUUUGAGUUAGGUAAACAAAAUCUGUUUAGGAAGUAUAUUAUGAUGUAUUAAUUCAAGAAAAGACUAAAUAGCAAAAGUGAGAAAAGUUUUGUGACCUAAGAGUAAAUACUCAAAAUUUGAUGGGUUAAAGUGUAAAUUUGAAAAAGUUGAAGGACCAAUAGUGCAAAUAUUUUAAGGGUAGAAGGAUCUAGAAAAUAGGGAAAAUGGAUGAAUUAGGACCAAAUUGAAUAAGUGGAAAAAAUAUAAGGGGUUAAAUUGCAAUUUUACUAGAAUGAGUAAUGACUCAAUGGAGGAAUUUUGAAAGAUCAUAAAGGGCAAAAUAGUUAUCUAGCAAGAAAGAUAUUUGAAGAGUAAUGAUGAUGUUGGUGAUAUUUUAGAUUAAAUAAAUAAAUAUUAGUUUAUUAAUAUUUUGAUUUGACAUUUAAUUAUAUUUAAUUAUUAUAUUUAGUAUAUAAGGAAAGAAAGAUGAAGAAUUCUCUUCAUCUUUCCAUGGUUCCAACGUGAGAAGAAGAAAAGAAAGAAAGAAAAUUUUUCUUUCCUUUACAAUUUGGUCAUUUCACCAAAAAUCCUCCAUUUUCAUUUUGAAAUCAAAAGAAUUUCUAUAGCCACCAAGAGAGAAAAAUAAUAAGGAGACUAUGGGGAGCUAGAAUAUCAAUUUAGAUUCGAGAAAAUAGAAGUUGGAGGAGAGAGAAAGUUAAGUUAAAGUUUGGUUUCAUUAAGUUGAUGUGAAAAAAGAGAUAGUGGAAUUAAUUAUGUGAAUUAAGUGAGAUGUCAAAGAAAAAUUAUGUAAUAAUGAAUAGAGAACUUUUAUGAAAAAAGGUGAUUAAAUUGGAAAGUUAUAAAAGUUUACAAGAAAAUAUUGAUAAUAAUGCACAUAGUGAAAAAUAAAAGAAUAUAUGAAUAUUGUAAUCCAAACUAAAAUUAUUUCCUAAGUUGUGGAAAUUAAUGGUUAAAUCGUAAAUUUGAGAAAAUUUAUAUUAGAAAUAGAAAAGUGAAGUGCAUAACAAUUAGAAUGAGAAAAAUUGAUGUUGUAGUGAAUUUUGGAAUAUUAAUAAGUAUUGAAUUAUGUUAUAUGUGUUAUUAAAAGUAAAUAUAUUGUUAUACGAAAUAUUGUGCUAAUAACUAAAUUACAAAAUAUUAAAAGUGAUAUGUGAAAUACAUGAUAAGGAUUAUGAGAGAAUUAUGGAUGAAUAUUGAAUUUAGUAAUAUAUUACAUGUAUUAAAGAUAGUGAAGAUAUAAGUAUAUGGAUUAUUGUUAUAAGGAUUAAAUUGUAAAGUAUGUAAAAGCAUUAUGCGAAAAGUGUAAAAGUGAUAUGUGUGUAUGAUAUAAAUUGCCCAAGUAGACGAGAUUAGAACUACUAGGAUAUUAGUGGCAUGCCAUUAAGGGACCCUAGCGCGCUCUUCGAUUAUUAGUACGUCAGUGUUAUCUGAUUAGCACAUUUGUGCUCUUUGUAUAGCACUUUAGUGCUCUCUGUUCAAUAGUGCAUAAUAAUGCACCUCUGUAUCAGUUUCAUAUAUAUUAAGUGUUCUGUUUAGUCUACUGGGCCUUUGCUAAAAAGGUAAACAAUUUUCGUUACAAGGUAAAGGUUUAUCUUUGAUUCAUGUUUGAAAUAAUGAAUUAAAAUAAAUUGUGAAAGAAAUAGUGAGAAAAUCAUGAAAAAUUACACUAAAUGGUGAAAUAUGAUACAUGUAUAAAAAGAGUAGUAAUUUUUAUAAGUUUAUUUGAGGACUUAAGGACUAAAUUGUGAAAUAUGUAAAAAGUUACAAAUGAAUAUGAUAAAUAAACAAAGAAACGAGAUAUUGGAAAUUAAGAAAUUUAAUAGAGUUUAAAUAUCAUGGGUACUUACUAAGUCUUCACUGACUUAAUGCGUUUAUUUUCAACGCGUAGGUACAGUGCUUUUGAAGAGUUGUAAUUGAGGUCAUGGACAUCCAUCUCAUCACAUCUCCAAGUAUCAAGAGGGUAUGUUUCAAAAUUUUGAAUAGAAUGACAUGUACUUAGGAAGAUCAAGCGUGUUCCAAGUAGUAGGGACUAAAAUAUAAGUUAUGAAAACUUUAUUUUUUUUAAUGUUCAAACAUAUUAGUGAUUAGCCAAAAUCACUUUGGCACCAAAUGUAAUAUUCCUAUAUCAAGUUCCUUUGGGUCAAACCGGGUAUAGGGGUGUUACACAUAAAUCGAGCCCCCAAUAUGAUCUCACUGACUCUGGAAGAAGAGAGCUUGAUAUCCAUCACUUUCUAGAGCCUUUAGAGGGUCCCAUAUCAAACAAAGUGGUCUUUAUUUCCUCAUCAGUGAUGGGCUUCAAAAAUUGGGUCUCGCCAUCCUGAAGUUGCGAGAAAGAACUAGUAGGAAGUCCCUUCAUCGGUCCUGGGUCUUUACCAUAUAAAUUGUUAAAAAAUCAAAUCGCCUCAUGCCGCAAGUUUUUAUCAUAAAAAAUCCACUCUCUUUUAUUAUUUUUCAGAGCCACAAUUUGACUUUUCUUUCUUCUUCUAAUAGUAUGGCUACAAAAAAAUUUUGUAUUUCGGUCCCCCAAAGAGAGCCAAUCACAUCUCGUCUUCUGUUUCUAGAGAAGUUCUUCGUGAUACAAGACCUGUUCCAGUUCCUCCCUAACUUCCAAAUCCAACUGAAAUAGAGAAUCCGACUAAGAAUAAUCCAAAUUAUGCUGAAUAGAAUGAAAUUUAUGAAGCAACCUUUUUUACGAGACCCAAUGUGACCAUAAACCUGUUUGUUCCACUCUUUUAUUUGACUUGUAAAGUUAGCCACUAUAUUUGACAUUGAGCCAUGAAAAUUCCAACUCUUCUAUACAAAGUCAGUAAACUCUGAAUGUUCAACUCAUCCUGCUAGAAACUGAAAAGGACAUCCCAUAAUAGAAUUAAGCCUAGGAUGAAGUGAUAAAAACAAAGGCCUGUGGUCAGACUUGAGUCUAGGGAGGUGAGUCACAUAACAAUUUGGAAAAGACACAAGCCACACACCAUUCUUGAUAAAUCUGUCUAACUACUCAUAGACUCUACCUUUAUACCACGUGAAAGGAGCCCCUCUGAAUCCAAAAUCAUGAACCCCAGUCGUAUCCAUAAAAUCCCCAAAGUAAGAACAUCUUUUCCCACUAACUCGCCCACCUUUCUUUUCGCUAGAGGCUUAAAGCGUGUUAAAAUCUCUAACUACCACCCAAGGAGAACCAUUACUUGGAAAAGUCGCAUUUAGAGCGUCCCAAAGCCGUUUUCGUUUACAACUAUUAGAAUUAUAGUAAACAAAAAUAACAAAAUGGGAUGCUGGGAAGAACUAUCGAAAACACGAGUUAAAAUAAAUUUAGGAUGGCUUCGAAGAAUUUCGACUUGAAGUGACUUCUUCUAUCCAAUCCAAAUACCUUUAGAGAAACUGAUUGCUUCUACCUGGUGAGAACAUUGAAAACCAAGAUUAAGGAUAACCGAGUCAACUUUUCCACCACUAACUCUUAUUUCUAACAGACGCACAAUAUCUGGUUUAUAUUCUCGAUUAUAUUCAUGAAAAAUUUGCAAAAACUUGCUACUAGCACACAUUUGAAAAUUCCAAGAAAAAUAGAAAUAGUCAAAUAAUAAUAAAAAAUAAAGAAGGUAAAAAGUAACUAUAAAUACUAAUUAACAACCUCUUUCACAAUUUUUUCCAUCAUGGUUCAAACUUCCCUUCUCAACCUCUUUCUUGAUCUACGAGCUUAUGAGUUUGGCCAUAGAAUUCAUGGAGUUUAAUAGCGGAACCCUCGCAUUACCUGAGUUUUUAAAUCAUUCCCCACGGUCCCAAACGAUUUUGCUAAUAGCGUCGCCACUUCAGAUAGAACCACUUUUAGCCCCUGAACCCUUCCUUUUGAAAUCAUUAUUCCUUUACCUCUUCCAAAAGAAUCAACACCUUCAUUUGAACUGAUAUUUUUAGGUAGCUCAUUAUCCUUGAAAAUAAUAACUAAAUGUCUCAUAGGGUCAAGGACCUCGCUAUUGAGUUUCACCAUUGACUCAAUAGGAUCGUUGAAGGUAGGGUUAAAAUGGGAAUUCACACCCAUCAUGAUUAGAUCAUCCAUAAUAUGCGAAGCCCCCAAAACUUGAUUUUACUUCAUACCGUCUUCUUUCAAAGGCAAAACAAUAUCCAAUUUAUUCCCAUUUCCAAGCUCACAUUGACCAGUCUCUGUUAAAAUUGGGUCUCCGCUUAUUGCAUUUUCUAUAACCCCCGAAUCUGUGUCAAUACAAGGUGGACCAUUUUGUAUACUCGUAUUUGCUCCAAGCCCAACCUCUAUUAGAGUAUCAGUCUCAGGGUGAGUUUGGAUGGGUGGUACGUUUACCUGCGGUUAGUGUAAAAACAACGGUGGCGGUGAGAUUAGAUACUAUAGCGAUACUGUAGUGUGAGACAAAAAGUAAGCUAAACGCACCACACCGCACCCAAUCACCCAUCCAAACCCACCAGCAUCUAUGGCCCAAAAGCCUCUAUCGUCUCCACCACCUUAUAUUUUUCCAAUGAGACUUCCACUGCCGAGACUCUAUCCACCUCUGUAAUGUUCGUUGAGCCGGAGCUAGGACAAAGAUUCUGCAUGUGUCCAAACCUGCCAUAAUAGAAGCACACUAACGGGAGCGAUUCGAAUUCAACCCUCUGAACCACUUUCUUAACCAGGAUCUGUGAGAUCAGAAGUUUUCCCAGAUCGAUGAACACUGCCAUUUGGGUAAAUUUGCCUCUCGAGCCCUUGUCCAUCUGAAAGUCGAGUUUCGUGACUUUACCUAUCAGACUCCCUAUCUAUUGCAAAACACACUAUUUGUAAAGGUCACUUGGCAGACCAAGCAACCAGACCCAGACCAUAGUGCUACUGGGAAAGUCUUGAAGGGGAUUAAACUUUGGGGGUCCACGAUUGAACAGUGAGGUACUGUCUGAUCACGAUCCACGACCCUUGGGGGAGAACUUUCUUGUAGUCCUCUCGGCUUUGAAAUCUAGCUAGGAAAUAUCCAUUUUCAACAUCCAUGAGAUGGAACUAUUGUGAGGGUUUUCAGAGGUUGUGAAUCCUAUUUUGUAGGAGGGUGUAGGAUAAGUUCCGACCUAAUAGUUUAACCACCACUGUGGUCGUCAUAUCUCUAACGACAAUUUGUUGGAUCCUUUCGGAGAAAUUGAUUGCUGGAAUUCCAUUGACAUUAGUCCUCAUGAUAUCUCAUUCUAUAAAGUCAAAGUCCUCAUCGCAACCAGAUCCAGAAAUCCCUCGUCCCAGAACUUUGUCUAUCCAAGACAUUCCCGAUGUUGGUGUUGAAUCUACGGCCAUAUCGCUAUUCGAAUUUGAAUCCAAGUCCUUAAAACGAACUUUUUUGGUGUUCCGAUCAAUCGAGUUGUCACCUCCGCCAUCCUCAGUCAUCUAUAUCAGUUGAUUUUAUUUUCUCUUAUCAGUGCUUUGAUUAAAUGAUAACGAUGUUCACAUCAACAUAUAUUUUAAUGUUUUAGUAGGUACCUAAAAAAGCAUAAAGUUAGUUUAUGUUUUCCAAGUUUUUUUUCUUUUCUUUUUUAAGUAUAUAUAAUUCAACACAAUUCAAAUUUAUUUUCAUUCAUAUUUAUAUAUUUGAUAAAAGCAUCUUUAUUAUAACUAAAUGACCAUAAAAUCAAUGGGAAAGACCUUGCUUAUGCUUGUUAUUAGUGCACCCCUCGAUCAUGACCUUGAUUACCUUAGCACAAUUGGGUUCGACCACCACCUAUCAUAAUUUAUCUCCCUUAACCACGCCAUAACUUCUGCAAGAUCAGGUGCCAAGCUUCCUAAAUUGUGCCCAGUACAACAUUUCACCAGAAUGUUGAUUGCGUCCCUGUUACGCGCCAUCCACCCCGCUGCAUUUUCAUUCUCCAAAGUGAUUGCAUCAACAUUACAUUUGGUCCAACAACUAAUUUACCUUUUAAAUCACCCAACUUAUCAUUUAGUUUCACAUAGAUCAUAAAUCUUUAAUUUAAUAAUAUCACAUCAUUUGACUUUUAAUACUGGCAAACUGUUGAGAAGCAUCAAACGGUUGAAUUCAUUUCACAAUAAGCUUAUGUUAGAAUUAAGUGACCCAAAUCCUUAUUUAAAUAAAAUACUGUGGUAAAAUAAAAUAAAAGUAAAAUCCCAAUAGAAUUAUACUUCUUUUAUUUUAUUUUAGAAUAAGGUUUCUAAACCUUAUUAAACUCCAUCUAUUUGAUAUUAUUUGAAUAAGGAGUUUCACUCCUAUUAGAAUAAGGUUUACAAGCCUAUAAAUAGGCAUAGUCUACUCCUCUUGUAAUUAAGUUUUUUCGACAUAGUGAAUUUUCUUCUCCUCUGCCCGUGGUUUUUUCCCGAAAGGGUUUCCACGUAAAAUUUGUGUGUUCUUUAUUUUUCUAUUUCUAUUUUUCUUUGCGAUAUAUUGUCAUUACCGACAUUAUAUUUUUCUCAAAUUGGUAUCAGAGCUUCCGGGUUGUUCAUCUCAAUCACGGUAAUGACAUUUUUAACCUCCUAACUAUAUUUAACAACUAACCAACUAUAUAUAACUAACAUCACUACAUUCCCCCUCAAGUUGUGCCCCCAAUUUGGAUAAAAGAUAUUUAUGUUGUUGAAUUCCCAGACCUUUUGAUAAUAUGUCAACUAGUUGUUCCUUUGUUGUGACAUGUUUGGGCUAAAUGGAGAUUUUCUCAUAUAAAGUGAAAAUAAAUUUCUAUAUGUUUAGUUCGCUCGUGAAAGAUAUGUUGGAUAAUUUGAGUUGAGAUGAUAGAUCUGGAGACAAUAUAAAAUUAAAACAGUAGACUUCGAGGCACGAGUGACGCUUUCCAAAUAGAACAAUUUGCCCCCACACAAUUUCUAGAGGGUUAAGAAAAGGUCUUUUCGGGACAUAAUGAAGACUUUUUAUUUCUUUUGGUUAGCAAAAUCGAGGAAUUCCCUAACUCUUACUCUAAUUUCUAAAUUUGGAUUGAUUGUAAUAAUAAUGUUUUGAGCUCCAUAGUCCCUCUAUUUAUACGCACUAAAUGGAAACUAUUAAAGAGCCACAACCAUUCAUAUUGGACAUACUUUUUAGAAGAAACAUAUCCCAUGGAAAUAAAAUGUAUCCAUUGGACGAAUGAAUCAUCACUUUUUAAUCCAAAUAAGUGCUCAUGAAUCACACCAAGUGAUCCAUUAAUAAUAUUUAAUGAAUUUGAAAUCUACAAUUUCCAACAAUCCCCCACUAGAUUGCUAAUUCCAGAAAAUAAGUACACAACGAUCAUGCAUAAAGAAGGGUGUCCACAGAUUGAACCUUCCUUUAGUGCAAACUCUUAAAGUAUCAACAAAGAUAAUGAUGGCUAGUCACUUGAAGCAUCACUCGUCAAUACCGAAAAAAUUACACACAUAACCAUAAAGUAUUAGAGUAAGAAUUUAUUUGCUUUAGCACUGUUAUGCUCAUGUGGUCAUCCCGUUUCAUGAACAUGUACGAGAGAAAACCAUAAAGAAAACUCUCGUUGAAGUAACACCACUUCAUGUCCAUGUAGGUGGAUUUCAUGACAAUAAAUGUCCAUCCAUUAAGAGUAAAACUCAUCCUCUUAAAACAUAAACACUAAAUCCUGAUUCUUAGUGCACGUUGUCAUUCGAUAACUUGUUAUUACCCUUUGAACCUCGAAACUAACUUUUGGCUAGAAGAAAGUAGGGUUUCCAUUAUCAAUGACGCGAUUAGAAUGAUUUUAAUCCUAUCUUAGUGGUGGUACUCUUAACCAAAUCCCUCGACAAACCUUUUGUUAAUGGAUCCACUAAAUUGCCCAUUGACUUAACAUAGGUAAUAGUUAUCACACCGUCCCUAACCAGUUGUUUCACAUACUCAUGUCUCAAACUUAUAUGUCUAGACUUUCCAUUAUACACCUUAUUGUACGCUCGAGACAUGGUGGAUUCACUAUUACAAUGUACGAAAAUAGCAAACCUACGUUGUGGCCAUAACUUUAGAUCUAGCAAGAGAUCUCUUAGCCAUUUCGCUUUAUUGCCAAUAUCCGCCAACACUAUAAAUUCAGCCUCCAUAAUUGAAUGUGAGAUGCAAGUUUGUUUUUUGGAGGCCCAACUAAUGACUCCACCUGUGAUUGUAAAAAUCCAUCUCGAUGUGGACUUAUUGUCACUUAAACUUGUAAUCCAACUUGCAUCCGAGUAACCUUCUAGUAUCACGAGAUAAUCACUAUAGAAUAAUCCCAAAUUUUUUGUUUUCUUAAGAUAGUAAAAAAUCCUACUAAUUCCUUUCCAAUGAUUGAUACUAGGAAAACUUGUAAAUCUCGCCAAUUUGCACACAAUAAAUGUUAUAUCGGGUUUAGUGCAAUGUAUUGCAUACAUUAGACUUCCCAUUGCGCUGGCAUACUCAAGUUGCACUAUAGCCUUGCCAUUAUUCUCAUUUAACUUGAAGUUCAAAUUGAAUGGAGUUUUCGAAUCCUUAAUAUUCAAGUGUUUGAACUUCUCCAAUAAUUUCUCGAUGUAUUGAGAUUGCUUUUGUACAAAGCCUCUUUCAUGCUUUUGCACCUUUAUACCUAGAAUUGUAUCUACCUCGUUGAGAUCCUUCAUCUUAAAAUUCGAGGCUAGAUACUCUUUGGUCUCACGAAUGCCUUCCAAGUUCAUCCCAAAAAUCAACAAAUCGUCUACAUAGAGAAAAAUAAUUACACUGUACAUAUCGCUGAAUUUAGUGUAAAUACAUUUAUUCGCACCAUUAUGUAAAAAACCAUAUGACAAGAUAAUCGAGUCAAAUUUCUCAUGCCACUUUUAGGUGCUUGUUUUAAACCAUAUAAUGACUUGAUCAACUUACACACCUUAUGUUUAUUCCCAGGAAGCGCAAAGCCUUCUGGUUGCUCUAUGUAGACUUCAUCUUCGAGAUUACCAUUCAAAAAAGCUGUCUUAACAUCCAUUUGAUAUACAUGUAACUUAUGGAUAGAUGCAAGUGCCAUGAGAAUUCGAAUGAAGGUCAUUGUAGCCACCAGUGCAUAGGUGUCAAAAUAAUCUAGGCAUUCCUUUUACCUGAAUCCUUUUGCCACCAAUCUAACCUUAAAGGUUGGAGAACCCCUGAUUGGAUUAUUCUUGUAAACACUCAUUUACACCUGAUAGACUUUGAUCAUUGAGGAAGAUAAACUAGGAUCCAAGUAUUGUUGGACAAUAUUGAAUCCAUUUCAUCAUUGAUCACCUCUUUCCAAAAUUCUGCAUCCUUAGAAGUCAUGGCUUCACCAUAGGAUUAUGGAUCACCAUCCACAUUAAACAUUAUGAGGAUCUUUCUAGUUAUGGAUUCUCCAUUUCCCUCAAUGAGGAAUGCUAGAUAUUGCGAGAAAAUGAAAUCGAUACCAAAGUCCUUUACUUUUCUCACUCCUUGACGUUUCCUCAACUUCGUAUCAUUAUUGUCACAAAGACAUCUCUUGGUUUGAUCACUUGAGAUCAUUGGUUGAUAUUCUUUUCCGAAUCUGGUGAAUCAUCGAAAACUUUAUUUUUAAUGAAUACAACAUCUCUUAUUUCAGUUAUCGUAUUUGACACUAAGUCAAGAACAUUAUAAGCCUUAGAGUGUUGGGCAUAUCCAAAUAAUGCACCUUUGAUGGCUUUUGGUCCUAACUUUUUUCUUCGUUGGUUGAGAACUCUAUAGUAAGCCAAACACCCCUACACUUUGAAAUAAUCUAAUUUUGGCAUCUGACCCUUCUAUAACUCAUAUGAAGAUACUUAGAAUUUUCUUGAUGAUAUUCUGUUAAGAUAUAACAUGCAGUCAAUAAUGCUUUACCCUAUAGAUUAUAUGGAAGUUUAACAUUUAACAAUAUCAAGUUAACCAUAUCCAUUAAAGUACGAUUGUUUCUUUCUGCUAAACCAUUUUGUUGCAGAGUAUAAGGUGGGGAACACUCAUGUACUACACCUUGUUCCUCACAAAAUACAUUAAAAUCAUUUGAAAAAUAUUCAUCCCCUUUAUCACUACGAAGCACUUUUAUUUUCUUACUAAACAAAUUCUUAACCUCAUUUUAAAAAUGUUUUAACAUAUCAAAAGCAUCCCCUUUACUUCUCAUGAGAUACACAUAAGUAAAUAUAGAGAAGUCAUCUAUAAAAGUGAUAAAAUAUCAUUUUCUAUCUCUUGUUAGAGUUACAUUUAAUUCACAAACAUCUGAAUGAAUUAAAUCUAACACUUGUGAAUUCCUUUCACAUUUAUUAGGAAACAGUUUCUUGGUAAUUUUUGAUUGAAUAUAAACAUCACAUUUAUUUACAAACUCAUCGUUACUUAGACUGAUACAACCAUUCUUUUGUAUAUAUGGCAAAGUUUUAAAAUUAAAAUCUGCUAGACGUGCAUGCCGCAAAUGAAAAGAUUCAACAAUAUGAGUAAAAGAAUUGACUUUAUUCAUAUCAAUGCUCAACUUGAACAUGCCUUCGUUACAAUAUUCUUUUCCCACAUAUAUAUCACCCUUAAGCAGGACUAACUUAUCGGAUUCCAAGAUAACCUUGAACCCUUUAUUACACAGAAGACUUGUGGACACUAAAUUCUUUCUCGCAUUGGAAACAUGCAACAGAUUGAUCAAAUUCAAUUUCUUUCCAGAUGUGAAGUUAAGUUCCAUCGUCCCUUCAUCGAGCACCUUAAAAUUGAUUAGUUGCCCAUAAGCACUUCACGGUUUGCCAUUAGUUCAUAACUCUAGAAUUUUUUCGGUCAUUACACACAUUGACAGUAGCUCCGGGGUUGAGCCACCAAUUAUAAGACAUAUCAGUCAUGGCUAUGUUGAGUUCGGUAAUCAUACCAAUUUUCAAACUCUCGAUCCCUUCUGUAACCAUGGCCACUAAGUCCAUGUCCUCCACCAUACUAGCUUUGAAAGUUGUGACAUCUUGCUUCUUUUUGAGAAGUUUACAAUCCUUAAUGUAGUGUCCUUUCUUAUUGCAAUUAUAACAAUUACAAGAUUUUUUCUUCUUGUCUUGUAUGUUCUUGGUUUUGAAUGUGGCCUUUCACUUACUGUUUCGAGAGUUCUUGGACUUACUCACAUAGUUCACUUUAUAACUUUAGGGAAGAUACACCCCAUCACGCUUUUGAUUUUCCUCUUCAAUACAUAAAUGCCUAAGUAUUUUCUCCACAGUGAAGUCCUCUUCCAUAAGCAGAAGUUUAUUUCGAUAAUUUUUCCAAGACAAGAGAACUUCAAGAUGAUAGCCCCGACUUGUAACAAUUCUGAAAUAAAAAAUUUUAGGUCACGAAGCCUACUUACAAGGACUUGAUCCAUGUUUGGGAUACUAUCGAGCAUUUUGAAUUCGAAAUACUUCAUUAUUAAAAAUUUAUCGGUAACUUGUUGCUCGGUGUUGUAUUUCUCUUCAAGAGCUUUCCAUAUUUCCACCAACGAUUGCAUUCACAUGUAGAGAUCAUACAAUCAAUUGAACAAGGUGUUAAGGAUGGGUCCACAACAUGUGAAAUUGUCUUCCUCGUGCUUCUUCUUGAGUUUGUCCACUUUCGUAAUUUCUUGAGGUUUGUAUUAGGGGUAGGAUCCUCUAUGGAUUGUAGGUUUGGGUCCAGAACUUACGCUACAUUCAAGAUGGUAAGAAGGAAAAACAUCUUGUCCUUUUAGUGAUUGAAGUUUGAGCAUCAAAUCGGUCAAGUUUCACAAACUCUUGGUUCAUCACUUUGAAUAUGGUGGUAACCUGCAUUGCCAUCUCCUAAAUUGUUCUAUUUGAUUGUUGGAUAAUUUGAGUGGAGACGAUAGAUCUAGAGAUAAUAUGGAACUAAAAUAGUAAACUUUGAGGCACGGGUGACACUUUCCAAAAAGAACAAUUUUCCCUCACACAAAAUUGUUAGAGGGUUAAGACAAAGGUCUUCCCGGGAUAUGGACCUUUUUUUAUUUCCUUUAAUUAGAAAAAUUGAGGCAUUCCCUAAAUCUUACUCUAAUUUUUGAAAGUGGAUUGAUUGUAAUAAUAAUUUUUUGAGCACCAUAGUCCCUCUACUUAUAUGCACUAAAUGGACACUAUUGAACAGCCACAACCCUUCGUAUUAAACAUACUUCUUACAAGAAACAUGUCUUAUGAAAAUAAAAUGUAUUCAUUGGAUGAACAAAUCGUCACUUUCUAAUCCAAAUAAGUGCUUAUGAAUCACACUAAGCGAUCCAUUAAUAAUAUCUAAUGAAUUUGCAAUCUACAAUUUCCAACAAGAUAGGAUUUACAGUUAUUUGAAUUGUUACUUUACUAUCACAACACAACAUAGGUGAUCCUUUGUGCCUGUCACAUCCCGAGAUCAGGUUCGGAAGUUUUGGCCAUACGAAGUUAAGGUUCACCAUCAAAACUUGGGCGAACUGGGGGUUCACCAAGGUUCAAGCGAGCUAGGUGUUCGCUAGGGAAGUUUUAGCAAAGGGGUUUGCUAGCAGCAUUGCACUUCAAAUGAAGUGGUAAGGGGUUCGCCAGUUCCACUGCGAGGCAAGUUCAUUAAUGUGUUUGGCAACUUGAGAUCCACCAGUCUGUGUGAUGAACUGUGUUCGCCAGGUAAGUUGCGAACUGGGUUCGCUAGUCAAUGUGCAAACUGGGUUGGCCGAUCAAAGUUACAAUCAAACUCAAAUUAGGAAAAAAGUGAUUUACCGUAUCUAGGAAUACUUUAUGUACAAGAAAUAAAUUUCUUAAGUUAGGUUUUCCAAAGAUAUCUAGGAUUCUUAGGUCUAUAAAUAUGACCCUUAAUUCUGUGAAUUCUUUACUGAAUAUUCUGCCAUUAAAGUCCCUGUUCUAAGUUCUGUCCGUAGCAAUUCGAGUAAGUCUGUGUCUUGCUUAAGUUGAUCAUCUCUAAAGUUGGGUUCGCUUGUGUGUGUGAUGUCUGUAUGUUCUAUUAGUAAUUUGUUUGUUUGUUAAUAACCAGCUGGACCAUCUUCUAGCAAGGACAAAGCCAAAGCCAAACUCUUUUAAGUUUCUCUAUUUUUUGAUGAGUGAUCAAGUUCAGAUAUGAAUAUGCUAACUGUCAUGUUUUUCAGUUUAUUCUGAUAUGUUUUUAAGAAAUAUGUUCCGAAACAAGUUCAAAGGCAGGUUUUCUGAAAAGCUCUGUUCUAAGCUACGAAACUCUGUUAAAAAAGAUUUUUAAAAGAUGAUUUUAAAGCACUAUUUAAUGCGAGCUUCUAUGCAAGCUAUUGAUAAUAUGAAUGUUUUGAAAGAAUGGUUUUAAACUGUGUAUUUGAAAGGCACUUAACAUGAGAGUUUUUUUAAGCAAACAAUUUGGCUUUGCUUUGUACAAGCUCUCUAAUUAGCUUUGCCUUAGUAUGAGCUUUCUAUUCUGUGUGCUCCUUAAUGAGCCUUGUGAUUGGUAUAACAAUGGUGUGAAUACUCACCCUGUUAAGUCUCACUUUGGUGGUCCUUUGAGAGCAUGAGCCUUUGUAAGCCUCACUCUACGUGUUUAUUGAGAGCAUGGGCUUUUGUGAGAUUUGUGAUAUGUCUCAUUCUGUUUGCUCCUUACGAGCUAGGUUGAAUAUAACUUAUUCAAUGAGAUAUGUCUUUUGUUUGAUGAACCAGUUGUGUAAACUAAAUGCCGACUCUAUUCUUAAUUUUUGAUAUGUACGAGCCGAUCUCACGGCUUUAUUCUAAACUCAAAUUCAUUUGUUAAAAAGAAAUAUAGCCUUGCACGAUUUUAAUGCGAGUCCCUUUUAAAAGAAAUUUUUCGAAGGAAAAGAUUUGUAAACAUUGCUUUUAAACUGUCUUCAAAAAAAUUGUUUUCAGAUGCAAACUGCUCUUGCAUUCUCAACUGCGAACUUAGCACGCAAAACAUUUUCAAAUUAAAGUUUUCUACUGUUUUCAAAUAUUUUUUAAGGCAUGAUUUAAUGGUUUCUGAUUAUUCACUAAGUUCUCCCUGAACUCACCCACUUUUCUCUUACCUCUCAGGUAAGUAGAUUGCGAGUGGCAUUGGAGAGGUUGAUGAUUUGGCGAGACACCUAAUUGGUAUCGACGAACCAUAUAGAUGGGCUAUGGGUUGUUAUAUGAUUUUUUUUCUAAGAAUAGUUAUAACAUUGAUUUGGUUACCCGAAAAAUUUGUUUAAGGAUUAGUUUAGUAUGUUUGAUUUUAAAUUAAUUUUAUUAUUGCGAACCAUGUCUUGAAAUACACAUGUUCUUUUUCACUAUCAAUAGAAUGAUGUUAUUCAUGUACGUUUAUUUUGUUUACUAUUUAUGGUUAUAAAUUACUUGUGUACUCUUGUAUGAUACAUUAUUUGCAUAAGAUUCAAAAUUAUUGUACAUGAUCCGCUGAAUCCUGUGAACUCAUGUUGUUGUGUGAGCCUAUAUUAAACUGCGAACCUAUGGUUGUGUGUUUAUCUGUAGCCUUUUAUGUUGGUAAAAGUUUGGGAGCUAUGUUUGAAUGUUUUGCUUGAUGUUUUAGAGUAGUGCGAACCUAUUGAUAUUUUUAAGUAUUUAGAAGUAUUGCUUCACACAAUUAUAUACUCUGAUGUUUUGUGCAUGCGAACCCUUUUGGUUUGUGUAAGAGUGUUUUUUGCGGCCUUGUUAAAGAUUAACACUAUGUUCACGUGCUUUAUAUAUAUGUAUAAGUUGUGUGUUGGAGGUUAGGUUGGGAGUUAAUAGAGAGUCACUUCGGUGGCUAAUGUGGCACGCCAAAUUUGGGUCGGAUCUUUCUGACCGAGUUUGGGGUGUGACAGUGCCCAACACCAAGUUCCUUAAGCAAGCCACUUAACUGCACUAGUACAACCAUUAUUGAAGCAAUACUUCAAUAUUUUGUUUCUAUCGAAGAGCAUGACAUAAUGCUUCUUUUUUUACUUCCAUGAAAGUAAGGGAUCCCCAAGCUUAACAUAAAACCCCGAGACAGAUUGUCUUGACAUGGGACAUGAUGCCCAAUCAGAAUCAUAAUACACCACCAGUUGUAUAUCAUCUAUUGCUGGAAUAAACAACCCUUGACCAAGAUUCUUUUUUAUGUACCUAAUCACCCAAAGAGCUACAUCGUAAUGUGACUUCUUUGGCCACUGCAUAAAUUGACUAAGAUGUUGCACCAUAAAGUUAUUUAUAGCCUUGUGUCUAUUAAGUAUAACAACCUCCCAAUAAGUCUUUGAUAAAGAGUAAUGUCAACAAACUCAUUAUCAUCAGAAUUUGCUUUUAUAAAUUCAUCAUACUUGCAUGAUGUCAAAUUCUAACUUUGUUCCAAAAGAGUGAUUGUCGUCUUAGAUCCCCCUAACCUUGCAUCAUGAAUCAACUCUAGAGCAUAUUUUCAUUGGUUCCAUAGUAUACCAGCCUCGAACUGUGCAACCUCAAUACCAAGAAAAUACUGAAGAUAUCCCAAAUAUAUCAUUUUAAAAUUUUAUGCAAAAUAUUUUUAAGUUCAACUACAAGGUCACUAUCAUUAUUGAUUAUUAAAAGGUCAUCUACAUAUAUAAGCAUGAGACUAAUUUAUCUCAAUUUCUCUUAGUGAAUAAAGAAUAAUCAUGUUUCCUCUAAACAUAAUCAUUGCAAAGAAAAGCUUCAGUAAGCUUGAUAUUCUAAUUUUGAGAGGUUGCUUCAAACUAUACAAGGAUUUGAGCAAUCGACACACUCAUGUCUCCCGCUAAUUGUGAAAACCCUAGGGAAGAGUCAUAUACACUUCCUUAUGCAAGUCGCCCUGUAGAAAGGCAUUGUAAACAUCCAUUUGAAAUAAAGGACAACCUAACCAAACAUCAAAAGCAAGAACGAGAUGGGCAAUAACCUAUUUAGCAACAGGAGAAAAUGUAUCAUAGAAAUCAAUACUCGGCUAUUGAGUAUACCCUUGACCAACGAGAUGAAUUUUAAAUUGUUCGAUAGUUCCAUCCAACUUGUACUUGAACUUAUAAACCCAUUUACAAACAUAGGGGUCUUACCUCGAGGUAAAGGCCUCCAAAUCUUGAAUCUCGUAUUUCACAACAUUAACCCAACUAGGGUCCCUAGCUGCUUCUUGAUAAGUAUUUGGUUCAACAAUAUCGGAUAGAGAAGCAAUAAAAUAUUAAGCAUGUAAAGGUAAAUGAUAAUUAGUGAUACAUUGAUAAAUGGGAUAUUAAACUUUAGCAAGUGAAAAAGAUGAAGAAGAUUGAGAAGAGAAAAAAAAGUCUGUCAACCAUGAUGGCGGUCGGUUGGACCAGGUAGAAUGACAUAAGGGUGAAAUUGGAUUAGACAAAAUAAGAGUAGGAGAAGAGGGAGGAAUGUUGCAAAAAAAUAGGAUGAAGAAGAUGGGGUGAGAGAAGGUAAUGAAGUAAAAGGAUGAAACAAGUUAGCAGGUGGGUCAAAAGGUAAGCUAGAACCUAAGGAAAGAAGUUAACGUAAAAAUUAUAGGAAGAGGAAAUGGGAAAUAAAUGUGGUGUAGUAGACUAACAUUAAAAAGGAAAAAUCGUCUUAUGAAAUUUAACAUCACAAUUAACAAAAAAAUGAUUGGUAGCAAGAUUGAACAAAAGAUAAUCCUUUUGAACAAUGGAGUAACCCAUAAAAGUAAAAGGUAUAGAUUGAGGUUGAAAUUUAUCUAAAGAAUGAAGGACUUUAGCAUAGCAAAGGAAACCAAAGACCUGUAAGAGGGACAACUCAAGUGGUUUAUUAUAUAAAAUUUCAACGAGUCUUCCAACCUAAAACUGAGGUCCGUAAAUGAUAGAUAAUAAAAAAACUAGUGAGAAUAAAUUCAUCCAAAAAUUUAGUAGGAACAGUACAUUGAAAUUUAAGGACUCUAGCUAUUUCCAACAAGUGACAAUGUUUACCAUUAGGUAUACCAUUUUGUUGGGGCAUACAGACACGAAUCUUGAUGAAAAAUACCCAAAUAAGAAAACAAAGAAUUAUACUCGACAAUAAAAAAUUCAGUAACAUUAUCAUUACGAAAAAUUUUAUAAUAAUGAAAAAUUGAGUUUUACCAAGGUAAUAAAUUGCUUUAAAGCAAAAAAUAGCAUCACUUUUGAGUGUAAGAAGAUACGUACAAGUUGCUCGAAUAUAAUCAUAAACCAUCGUAAGAAAGUAAAGAUCCCACUAUGUGUGGAAAAUUUAUAUGGCUUUCGCAAGUCAAGAUUGACUAAGGAGAAUGAUGUUUCAACUCGAGAAUGACUAAAGGGAAAAGGUAAACGUGUUUGUUUAACUAGUAGAAAAACAUGAAAAAUAUGAAUAUAACCAUUGUUCAAAGGAUUAUAAUGAAAAUGGUCCAUUUUGUUCAUUUUGGAAAAAGGAGGCAUGACCAAAGAAAUGAUGCAUCGAUUGUGGACAAAAAAUAAGAAACUAAAGAAGGUGUAGCCUUAGUUGAAGAAAAAUGUGGUAAGAGUAGAUAAAGACCAUGCCGCACUCUACCAAACCUCUUCACCUAUCAAUUGCAAAGGUCUUGUAAAAGAGAAAUAUGAAUAUAAAAAGAAACAAAAAAUGUAAGUCACGAGUCAAUUUUUAGAUGGAAAUCAAAUUAAAUUAAAAUAAGGGAUAUAAAAAACAUUGGUAAGCUUGUGCGAAUGUGAAAAGGCUCGAGUACCCAUAUGAGAAAUAGAGAUAGACUUAUCAAUAGGAAAUAAAAAAGAUGAUGGACAAGAUGCAUGUAGAACUAAAGAAUCCAAACAGUGGAUAUCCGAUGUCAUAUAGUUGGUAGCACCAAUAUCCAAAAUCCAACGAGAAGCAAAAGGCUGUGAAACUAUAUCUGUUGUAACAACCCGAUUUUUAGUGGUGCCAAAAAGGGUAGUUUUGGAACCCCAUAUUCGUAAAAUGGGUCCAUAAAUAUUAAAUAUAGAAAUUUAUGAAGUUGGUAUAAAAGUUUAUUAAAGUUUGGACCAUCAAUUUUGUUUAUUAAUUGUUUAAUUAAUGUACAAGGACUAAAUUAUAAAACUGUUAUCGUUAUAGAUUUUUAAUUGGCAAAAGGCUUAAGGACUUAAAUUGUAAUUAACCAAAUAUCCAAAAUAGUAAUUAAACUAUUUUGUAACAUGGAAUAGUGGCAUAUGAUGACAUUCCCUCUAACUUUGAUUAAUGGUUAAUUAAUUAAGUUUAAGAUAAUUAAUAAAAUUUAGUUAAUCCCUAAUUAUACUAUAUAAACUAAAUUAAACAAAGAAGGAAAGAAAACCCUUAUUGAAGGUCAAACUUUCGAUCCUCAAUUGGUGAGUUCAAUUAAGUCAUUUUCUUGUAAGUUAUAUGUUUUGAGGUCAUGGGAGCUUGUUUUAGCUAGCCUAUGUACGAAUUUGUGAAACUGUUAAAUUUUUUUAAGUUUCCAUUGCUGAUUUCUUGAAUAAAUUGGUCUUAAAUUGAUAGUUUUUAAGCUUAGAUGUGAAAAGGAUUAGAUUGUAAAGUUUAACUAUUAGUUUUGCACAAAAGGAAUAAAGGGAAUAAAUUUUAAAAAGCAUGUGAAAUAUCUAGAAUAAUAGAUAGUAGGGAGUCCCUAAGGGGUGUAAUUGAGAUCGAUUUUAAAAUCGAGGCUUAAAAUUGAAAGAUAUUUUUAUUUUGGUUUUAUGGACUAAAUUGAAUAAAAUACAAAAAAUUAAGGGGCAUUUAAAAAAUGGAAUUAAAUAGGUUCAUGAAUAUCAUGGAGUGAUAUAAAUAUGUUUGAUAUUGAUGCAUUGUCUAAAAUAAUUGUUUAGAUCAAGAAUUGAAUCUAAUCGGUGAUAACCGGAGAACAACAAAAUUGUGGAAGUCUUUGAAGUUUCAACUUGUUGUUUUUGCCAGGUAAAUUCAUAUGAAACUUACUAAUUUAUUUGAUGUUAUGCUGAAUUGUGUUUAUUUCAUAAAUAUGUUUAGUUUAAGGUGAAUUUGGCAUAUUUUCAUCAAUUGGAUUGAAUUUCAAAAUAUAGAAAUAUUGUUUAUUACGAAUAGGUACAAAGUACAAAAAUGAAGAUGUUUAACAUUGAAUUACAUGUGCUUGAAUAUUUUAUUGUAAAUUGACGAUCGGGUCGAGCGAGGGGAGUUACAUUUAGUGGUAUCAAACCUACGGUUUAGUCAAUUCUAGGACUGAAAUGUAAAGCAUGUUGAGUCUAGAAAUACAUGCCACAAUAACCUGUGAUAGUGUGAUGUCUUCUGAUUCGAAUUGACUUUUUUUCCAUAUAGCUAAACCAUGUCAGCCGAAUCAAAUCGAGUUGUGUCUAAUGAAGUUGAAAGUAAUAUUUGUGCUUUCAAACAGGGAGCUUCCCGAAGUUUUCCCAUUCCACAACGGCUAGGGAGUGAGGCAAGAGAUGCCUUCUUCCAAAUGAUGAACUAGUGGUUCACCCAAUAUAUGGGAGCUACCCCUUCCGCUCCACAACCUCAAAUGCACCUUCCUUCCCCGAUUGUGCCUCCUGUGGUACCCUUUCAUCCUCAAGUUUCUAAUUCGGUACCCAUUAACCAUCCUCUGAUAUAUAAAAUUUGUAAAUGUGGGGCAAAAUAAUUCAAAGGCAAGAAAAAGGAUGAACCAAAAAAAGUUGAGUAUUGGAUAGAAAACACUAAGAGGGUUGUUGACAAGUUAUUUUGUAUUCCUGAUGAUUUUUUAGGAUGUGUCGUAUCAUUGCUCAAAGAAGAAGCAUACCAAUGGUGGAUGACUCUAACGUUUGUUGUUCUGAAAGAUCGAGUAAACUGGGAGUUCUUCCAAAUUGAAUUAAAAAGAAGUAUGUUAGCCGACUAUAUCUUGAAAAUAAAAAGAGAGAGUUUAUGAAACUGAAACUGAGAGAUAGGUUAGUAGUUGAAUAUGAAUGAGAAUUCAUUUGCCUCAGUAAAUAUGUCAGAGAGCUUGUAUUUAGUGAAGCUGAAAUGUGUACUCGUUUUGAGUGGAGAUUGAACGAGGACAUACAAAUGUUAGUAGGAGGUGUGGAAUUGGAAAAGUUUGUUAUUCUAUCGGAGAGGGCUCAGAAAAUGGAGGAAAUGCAUAAGGAGAAAAAGUAGACCAAACCUAAGAUAUGAGAUUCUAGUAAAUGGUGUAUGGCCAUAUCUUUCCCAACUCAUCCAUCUAAAAAGUCAAAAUAUUUGUAAAGUCGUUUCUCUACUCCAUUAGGGAUUUUUGAGAGAGAUGGGCCGAGACCGAGUAUUCUGCAACCUCAGACUACGUCGGUAGCUAGUGUCAAAAGUGUUCGUAAUGCAAAUAGACCAAUUUGAUGACAUUGUGGAAGAAACAUAAUGGUGAAUGUAGAUUGAAAAAUGGAGCUUGUUUUCUAUGUUGUUCCAAACAACAUUUAAGAAGAGAUUGUUCGAAUAGGCCAGAUCAAAGCAAGGAACAAAGUGUAAAGCCAGUGUCGACUCUGUAGAGGAUUAGAAGACCAGGAACUGGUAGCAGCGCUGGUGCUAAUCGAGGUGGAACUAGAGAUAAGUUAUGAGAUUCGAGGCUUGUGCACCUACUAGAGCUUAUGCUAUUCGAGCCAGAAAGGAAGGUACUGCUACUAACAUUAUUGCUGAUACAUUUUUCUCUAUUUGAUGCUUUUGUGCCUGCAUUGAUUGACUCUGGGUCAACAUAUUCAUACAUCUACACCUCAUUAGUAGCUUAAAAAAUAUACUAGUAGAAUUGAUAGAAUUUGAUGUUUGGGUAACCAACCUGUUAGGUUAAAGUGUUCUUGUCAAUAAAAGUUGUAAUGACUGUCAACUGGAAAUUUGAGGCCGUAAGUUUUUAGCUAAUUUGAUGUUAUUACUUUUUGAUGAAUAUGAAAUAUUUUUCAGAAUGGAUUGGUUGACUUUUCACGAUGUAGUGGUCAACUGUAAACAAAAGUGAAUAUCAUUGCGGUGUCAGGAUGGUGAAUUGAUAAAUGUGAAGGCUGACAGAUCUGAUUGCUCGACUAACAUAAUAUCAAUGAUGUUAGCUCGACUAACAUAAUAUCUAUGAUGUCAACUCAAUAAUUAAUCAAAAAAGGGUUUGAGGCAUAUUUAGCCUAUAUUCUAGAUACUAGAGUGACAGGAUCUAAAAUAGAGCAAGUUUCGAUGGUUUGAGAAUUCACAUACAUGUUUCCCAAAGAGUUGUUAGGUUUCUCGCCUGAGAGAGAAAUUAAUUUUGUUGUUGAAAUAACACCAAAACUAUUUCGAUUUCUAUUGCAUCAUACAGGCUGACUCUGAUUAAAUUAAAAAAAUUGAAAGCUCAGUUGCAAGAACUGUUAGAUCAGGGAUUUAUCCGACCAAGUGUGUCACCUUGCUCCAAUAUUAUUUGUGAAAAAGAAAGAUGGAACCCUAAGAUUGUGUAUCGACUACUGGUAGUUGAAUAAAGUGACCAUAAAGAACAAGUAUCUAAUGCCCUAAAUCGAUAUUUUUUUAUCAAUUGAUAGGAGAAACAAUGUUUUCUAAAAUUGACCUUUGGUAAUCCAUUUGGGGUUACUAAUGCUGUAGCCGAUUUUAUGGAUUUGAUAAACAAAAUAUUUCAGCAGUAUCUGGAAAAGUUUGUUUUUGUGUCAACAUUUCAGAAUUGUAUUACAGACUUUUCGAGAAAAGCAAUUAUAUGCAAAGUUCAACAAAUGUGAAUUUAGGUCACGAGAAGUGGGAUUCCUAGGUUACAUUAUAUUAGCUAAAGGCAUUCAAGUGGAUCCGAGUAAUAUCUCAACAAUUGUUAACUAGAAACCUUCGAAGAAUAUCACUGAGAUACAAAGUUUUAUAGAAUCGGUCUGAUACUAUCGACAGUUUGUUAAAGGUUUCUCGAUAAUAGCCCUCCUAUUAACAAAAUUGUUACAAAAUAAUAUCAACUUUGUUUUGUCAGGAAAGUGCCAGCAAAGUUUCAAACAGUUGGAAGCAAUGUUAACAGAAGCUCUAGUUUUAAGUUAGGCUGAAUCUGGAAAAGAAUUUUUUGUGUUCAGUGACAUGUCACUCAACUGUUUGGGUUGUGUACUAAUACAAGAGGGAAAAUUAGUUGCUUAUGCUUCUUAGAAACUUAAGCCACAUGAGAAGAAUUAUCCUACACAUGAUCUCGAACUUUCAACAGUGGUUUUUACUCUAAAGAUUUGGAGACACUAUUUGUACGUGGAAAAAUGCCACAUUUUCAUAGAUCACAAAAGUCUAAAAUACUUGCUGACACAGAAAGAAUUGAAAUUGAGACAACGCAGGUGGCUUGAAUUGCUUAAAGACUAUGAUCUGAUUAUAGAUUAUCAUCCUAAAAAAGCUACCAUUGUAGCUGAUGCCUUGAGUCAAAAGUCCCUAUUUACUUUAAAGGUGAUGAAUACCCGUUUGGCUUUGGAACGAGAUAGUUCUAUUUUAGCUGAGUUGAUAGUUAAACUUAUUUUUCUUCAAAAGAUUCAGGAGUUGCAAAAAGAUGAUUCCAAGUUGUAAGCAAAAUAGAAACUUGUUGAAGAUAAUCAGAGCAAAGAGUUCAGUGUUGAUGAUAACGUAAAUCUAUAUUUUUGAAAGUGUUUGUGUGUACCGAAUAAUUUAGAAUUGAAAUGAGACAUUUUGCACGAAGCUCAUAAUAGUACUUACAUGAUACAUUUGGGCAUCAAUAAGAUGUAUAAUGAGUUGAAACUGUUUUAUUGGUGGCCGAGAAUGGAAAGAUAGAGUACUGAAUACAAGUGGAAACACAGAAAUAUACACACUUUUUCAUGCCUUUUUUAACUCAAAUUCAUGUAGUUUCAGUAAAAUUCUUAUCGAAAAAAUAUAUAAUAAUUAUAAAAUACUUAAGUUGCACUCAAAUUAUGGACAUGUUUAAUUUUAAUUAAUUUUAUAUAAAAUUUUGAUUAUUUUUUAUUAUUUUUGACAGAUUUGCACAAAGGGCAAAAAAUGGCUCGACAGACACUGCUAAAAGCACAAAACCGAGAAGCAAUUUUGAAGCAUGAAGGCGAAAUAAUUUUUCAGCAUAAGAUGGUCAAAAUUAUGUGUAUUAAUUCAUAAUAUAAUUAAUUUUAAUUUUAAUCCAAUUUAAUUUGGGUUAAAUAAAUUACUAUUAAUUAAUUAUGAAAAGGGGCCCAAUUGAGCUGAACCGAGAAAAUUGAACCAAUCGAGCACUGGGCAAGCCAAAAUCGUCCAACAUGCUGACCCAAUCAGCUUGCUUGGCUGGUUAUUUGGCUUGAAAAAUGGCUCUUGAAGACUCCUUCAAAUUUCAUUCAAACCCUAGUAUUUCUGCCUUUCUAGAUUUGCCCCAACCUUAAAAUAGCAAGUUUGAAACCUUAAAACUUGCCACUAGUGUGGUCGGCCAUGGGGGGACUCUAUGGCUGCUGAUUUUUGCUAAUUUUGGAAGCCAUCUCAACCUAUAACAAACCCCUUGGCUAAUCACUUCAAGCACAUCUUAAACUCAUUCAUUUCUUUACUUCUUUUUCAUUUUUUUCUCUUCAUUCCCUUCCAUUGUUAUUCAUUUUCAUCCCCUAUUCCUAUGCCGAUUUCACCUCUUGAAAAAGAGUCCUUCAACCACCAUUUGGAGUAGCAUUCAAGUGUUCGUGGAAGCCUCGAUUUAACAAGAACAAGCAGAGAAGGAGGAGCGGAGCAAACUAGUCAAGCCUCGGAGAAACACCAAAUUUGAUUCUUGUUCCUUAUCUUUUUAAUUUAAUUGUUGUUGUUAUGAACAUGUUUAUGAAUAUUUGUGAUGUUGAUAUGUUUAAUUUAGUUCAUAUAGCUUAAAUUUAAUUCGGGUUAGGUUGAUUGCAUUUCGUCUACUUGAGUUAUUAAAAUCGUGUUUGUGUUGUUACAGGCCUCGUUAAGAUGUUUGAUUAAGUAAAACCAUGACUAAGUUAUUCUUGCAUUACAAUUGUAAGGUAACUAAUGAAUUAAUUAUUUAAUUGGAUUUAAAUUGUAAUUAUUGACACGAUACUUAAUUAGUGCAUGUUUAAUCAUCUAAGGUAGCUGAGGGUUAAGUUAGCAACGGUAUCUAACGAUACAUUAGCCUUGCAUAACUUGCAAGAUUAUUGUGAUUAAACUGUUUGAAGGUAGAAAUACAUUGUUACCUCACGUAAUCCUUUAUGUGCUUAUGAGAUUGAAUUAAUUGUUUGAAUUGACAUACAGAUAUGUACAAGAGAUUAUUUUAAUUUCAUAGGUAUGUAUGUGUAUUAAAAUAUUUUCUUAUUAAAAUUUGUUUAUUCAGUUGAAUUGACAUAGAGAUAUAGUCAAGAGAUAAAUGGAUUUUGGUAUGUAAGUAUGUUCAUAAGUUAGAAAUUACCGAGUUACCGUGAAUUUAUUCGUAACAACAUAAACAUGAGUUUAAUAAUUCUAAGUUAAGAAAUGUAAUUAAUCUAGCACAAUUAUGUCAUUUUGAGUAAAAUCAUCUUUUGAAAUCAUGCAUUGGAACUUUUAUUUUAAUUUUAUUUAUUUUACUUAGUUAAAAUAUUUUUCUUCACCAAAGUGUUUUUAAAAUUGCAUUCAUAAAUAUUUUUUUUCACAGUCCUUGUGGGUACGAUAACUCUACAUUUACUUGUCACUUUAUUACUUGUUGCGAUUGUGUACACUUGCACAUUCCUGUCGUUUCAAGUUUUUGGUGCCGUUGUCGGGGGACAACUUUAAAAAUUCAUUAUUUGUGAAUUUGUUAAUUUUUCAUUUUGGUUUAUUUCUCUAUUCAAUUUUAACUUAAUUAAUUUUUCUGUGUUUUUUUCAAGUGUUUAUGAGUAUUGAUCGAAUUAUCGAUUUACUCCAUGUAGACCCUGAGAUUGAAAGAGCUUUUCGACAGCGGAGAAGACAAGCAAGUCAAAGAAGGACCGAAGAGAUGAACUUCAAAAAUCUGAAUCAAGGAAAUAGAGCAAACACUGCCCAAAAUCCUAUCCUUAUUGCUGAUGAUAGGGAUAGAGCUUUAAAACAGUAUGUUGUGCCAGUGUUUCAUGAUCAUAAUUCGGGUAUUAGGGGACCCAAAAUUGAGGCACAACAGUUCGAGCUGAAGCCAUUCAUGUUCCAGAUGCUUCAGAUAGUGGGCUAAUUCAGUGGAAUGCCUACCGAAGAUCCUUAACUUCACUUAAGACUAUUCAUGGAGGUGAGCGAUUAUUUUAAGUUAGCUUGAGUACCCGAAGAUAUGCUACGAUUAAAAUUGUUCCCAUAUUCGUUGAGGGACAGAUCUCGAGGCCGGUUGUACUCAUUGCCCCCGAAUUCAAUUUCCAUAUGGCAAGAGUUAAUAGAAAGAUUCCUCAUGAAGUAUUUUCUACCUAGCAAGAAUGCUAAGUUGAGGAAUGAGAUCACUGCUUUCUAACAAAUGGAUGAUGAGUCCUUGUAUGAGGCAUGAGAAAGGUACAAAGAAUUAUUACUAAAAUGCCCUCAUCACAGAAUCCCAUAUUGCAUCCAACUUGAGACGUUUUAUAACGGUCUCAAUGCCCACACGAGGAUUGUAGUGGAUGCUUUUGCUAAUGGUGCUCUCCUUUCUGAGUCUUAUAAUGAGGUUUAUGGAAUCAUUGAGAGGAUUGCCAGCAAAAAUUAUCAAUAUCCAACCAAUCGAGUAACGUCAGGAAGACGAGUUGCUGGAAUACAUGAAGUAGAUGCUCUUACUUCACUCACAUCUCAAGUAUCCUUAAUAUCCUUAAUGCUUAAAAAUUUUACCACUAAUGGGUUUAAUAGUUUUGCAGCACAACCACCGCACCAAUUUGAAAAUGUAGCCUGUGUCUAUUGUGGGGAAAGACAUAUGUUUGAAGAAUAUCCAUCGAACUCAGAAUCCAUUUAUUACAUGGGUAACUAGAACCAAAACCGAGGAAGGCAGGGAAUACAAUCCAAUUCCUACAACCCAUCGUGGCGAAACCACCCUAAUUUCUCCUAGAGUAACUAAGGGGUUGGACCCAGUAACACAUAUGCCCAACCUAGACCGACCCAGCCACCUAUUUUUACCCAAUAAGUUCAGAAACAACCUCAAGCUGAACCAUCCAAUGGCUUAGAAAACUUGUUGAAGGUAUACAUAGCCAAGAAUGAUGCCUUAAUCAAAAUCCAGGCAGCUACAUUGAAAAACUUGGAAAACCAAAUCAGCCAGCUUGCAACUGAACUCAGAAACUGACUACAAGGUGCUUUACCUAGUGAUACGGAGAAUCUGAGGAAUUCUGGGAAGGAACAUUGUAAAGCGUUGAAAUUGAGAAGCGAAAAGACAUUAGAGCCCAACACACUCGAAGUUUAAAAGGAGCCAACUGAUGCUCAAGACUCAGGGGAAGUUCCAUCGAGUGUUGAAAUUCCAGUUACACUAGAACCAGAAUAUGCCAAAUCUGAUAAGGUAACUUCUUAACCACUUAAUUUUGAUAAACUAACAAAUUCAUUAGAUGCAGAAUUGCCACAGAAGACGAAUAAACCAGUUCCAGUAAAGAAGCCUCCACUACCCUACCCUCAGAGACUUCAGAAGUAGAAGAACGAAGUUCAAUUCUAGAAGUUUCUAGACAUACUCAAGAAACUUCAUAUCAACAUUCCAUUGGUUGAAGCACUUGAAUAAAUGUCGAACUAGGUCAAAUUCAUGAAGGAUAUCCUGUCAAAAUAAUGAAGACUUGGAGAAUUUAACACGGUAGCCUUGACAAAGGAAUGCAAUGCAUAUCUUUAAGACAAAGUACCUCCAAAGUUGAAGGAUCCUAGAUGUUUUACCAUACCUUGCAACAUUGGAGCAACAUAUUGUGGUAAGACACUAUGUGUUUUGGGCGCGAGUAUCAACUUGAUGCCCAUGUCAAUAUUUAGGAAGUUGGGGAUAGGUGAAGUUAGACCUACUACGGUUACACUUCAAUUAGCAGAUCGGUCCUUAGCACGCCUAGAAGGAAAAAUUGAGGACGUGUAGAAAAAAUUAUUUUUCUUACUGAAUUUGUUAUUCUAGACUUUGAAGCAGACAAAGAAGUGCCAAUCAUACUAGGAAGGCCUUUCCUAGCAACUAGAAGGACCCUUAUUGAUUUGCAGAAGGGCAAGCUUACCAUGCGUGUCCAAGACAAUCAGGUAACAUUUAAUGUUUCUAGGUCCAUGAAAAUUUCCUAACACAAUUGAUGAUUGUUCUACAGUGUUCGAUUUAGAAGAAUUAAUCAUGGAAAUUUAACUCAACUAUGUUGAGGACCCAUUGGAACAAAUUUUGACAUCAGAACCUCCAAGUGAUGAAGAGGAAUAUGAAUACUUAGCUUUGCUAGAAGCUAAUCAAAGGGGAUUUAAUCUGUAAUCCCUCUUUGAAUCUUUGGAGUCAGAGAAUUGAAAUUAUGCCCAACCAAAAGCGUCAAUUGAGGAGCAACCUAAAUUAGAACUGAAGGUACUUUCCUCACAUUUAAAAUAUGUUUAUUUAGGUAAUGCUUCUACUUUGCCUGUGAUUGUUUUAGUGGAAUUAACCGUUGAGCAAGAAGGCUAUCGGAUGGACCAUAGUCAAUAUUCACAGUAUUAGUCCAUCUGUAUGCAUGCACAAGAUCAUCGUGGAAGAUGGCGAAAAAGGGAUGAUUGAUGGACAACGAAGACUGAACCCCAUCACGGAGGACGUGGUAAAGAAAGAAAUCAUCAAGUUAUUAGAUGAGGGUAUAAUUUACCCCAUCUCAGAUAAUUCGUGGGUAAGUCUGGUCCAGUGCAUGCUAAAGAAAGAAGGUCUUAUAGUCAUUGAAAAUGAUAAUAACCAUUUGAUACUGACUAGAACGGUUAUGGGAUAGAGAAUUUGCAUCGAUUACCAAAAGCUAAACAAGGCGACUAGGAAAUAUCACUUUCCUUUGCCAUUUUUGGACCAGAUGCUGGAUAGACUCACAGGGUGAGACUAUUACUGUUUUCUCGAUGGAUACUCGGGGUAUAAUCAGAUUACAGUAGCACCGAAAGAUCAAGACAAGACAACAUUCACCUACCCAUAUGUAUUCAGAGAUACAUAUGAUGAUUGCCUAGCCAAUCUAGCCAAGGUACUAAAGCGAUGCAAAGAAACAAACCUCAUACUCAAAUGGGAAAAGUGCCAUUUCAUGGUACAAAAAGGUAUUGUUUUAGGGCAUUGGAUAAUGAGACAUGAAAUUGAGGUAGGUAAAGCAAAAGUAGACUUUAUUGAAAAACUCCCACCUCCAACAUCUGUAAAGAGUGUUGGGGCUUUUUGGGCCAUGCCGGUUUCUAUCGAAGAUUUAUCAAGGACUUCUCCAACAUUAUUUAACCCUUAUACAAAUUAUUGGAGAAUGACACGCCAUUCAAAUUUGAUGAAGAGUGCUUAAGAGCUUCCAAGGAUUUGAAGAGUCGAUUAGUUUAGGCACCCAUAAUUGUCACACUAGACUGGGGUUUUCCAUUUGAAUUGAUGUGUGACGCAAGUGACUUCGCGAUAGGAGCUGUCAUGGGCCAGCGAAGGAAUAAGGCUUUUCAUCCCAUCUACUAUACAAGCCGGACUCUUACAGGUGCUCAACUGAAUUAUACGGUAACAGAGAAAGUGUUACUUGCUAUUGUGUUUGCUUUUGACAAGUUUCGAUCUUAUCUUGUAGGUACCAAAGUGAUUAUCUAUACGAACCAUUCAGCAAUUAAGUAUUUACUUUCCAGGAAAGAUGCUAAGCCAAGACUGAUUUGAUGGGUUUUUCUAUUUCAAGAAUUUGAUCUAGAAAUUCAAGAUUGAAAGGGAGUAGAAAACCAAGUAGCAGACCACUUGUCCAGAUUAGAGCCGCAAGAAGGGAAUUCUCCACUUAUACCCAUUCAAGAGACAUUUCUAGAUGAACACAUACUAAAUGUAAAUCAUGUCCAUAAUACCCCUUGGUUUGCUGAUAUUGCUAACUUUUUAGCUUGUGGUUUGAUGCCGAUUGAUAAGACGUAUCAUCAAAAGAAAAGGUUUCUUCACGAUGUGAAGUACUAUUUCUUGGAAGAACCAUACUUCUUUAAAAAGUUUACAAAUCAAAUGAUUAGGAGAUACGUGGCAGAAGAUGAAGUGCAUAAGAUUCUAUAUCAUUGUCACUCAAUUCCGAGUGGGGACACUUUAGAGGUACACGUACUGCGGCCAAAGUAUUGAAAGUUAUAUUCUUUCGGCCAACACUAUUCAAAGACACAUAUGCUUCCAUAAAGAGUUGUGAUCGAAGUCAAAGGGUUGGAAACGUCACCAAAAGAAAUGAGAUGCCCCAAACAAACAUCAUUGAGGUAGAAUUAUUCGAGGUUUGGGGUAUUGAAUUUCUCAGUCCUUUCCCUCCAUCUUUUGGUCACAAGUACAUAUUGAUAGCAGUAGACUACGUGUCUAAGUUGGUUGAGGCCGAGGUAUAUCCAACAAAUGAUGAUAAGGUUGUGAUGAAGUUUUUGCAGAAGCAUGUGUUCACAAGGUUUGGAACCCUUAGAGCUAUCAUUAGUGAUGAAGGGUCUCAUUUUGUGAACAGAUGGUUGAAAUGGUUACUCGACAAACAUGGAGUGAAGCAUAAGGUUUCCACAGCUUACCAUCCGCAGACGAAUGGGCAAGCUGAACUAGCAAACAAAGAGAUCAAAGGCAUACUCGAGAAGGUAGUUUGGCCGAACCGAUGAGAUUGGUCCAAAAGACUGGAUGAUGCUUUAUGGGCCUAUAGGACAACAUACAAGGCACCUUUAGGGAUGUCACCCUAUAGGUUGGUCUUUGGGAAAGCCUGUCAUCUGCCCUUGGAGUUAGAGCACAAAGCUUACUGGGAUCUCCAACAACUCAACUCGGAUUUUAAGCUUGCUAAAGAGAAACGAAUGCUCCAACUCAACAAGUUAGAAGAAUUCCGAAUGUUCUCAUACGAGAAUGCCAAAUUACUCAAGGAAAGACUUAAGAGAUGGCAUGACAAGCACAUUCGAGUUCGAGAAUUUGAAGUAGGUCAGCAAGUCUUGUUAUUCAAUUCUAGAUUAAGGUUCUUUCUAGGUAAGUCAAAAUCACGUUGGUCCAGUCCAUUUACGAUUCACCGAUUUUAUCCAUACGGAGUUGUCAAACUUCAAAGUAAGGUAGGUAAUUUUCGAGUCAAUGCUCAGUGCUUAAAACAUUACUGGGGGAUAAAAUUGAACGGGAUCAAAUUUCGUUCGUUUUAUCAAAUAUUUAAUUCUUCUUGUUUUUGUUUUUUAAUAAAUGAUUUAGGGUAUAUUUUUGGGAUUAGUAUGUUCAAAUAAAUUCUGUCUAGGAGAUUAGAACUUAAGCGGGACCGAUUGUGACCCCUCCAAUCUUUCCUAGGAAUUGAUUUUAACAUAAUCUUUUGAGAAAUUUCCCUAAAUGGCAAAAUAAAUUUUUAGUUUUAAAAUAAAAGGGUCAAUUUUGAUCUACGUUUUAAAUUGCAACUCAAUUUUGAAUUUUCCUUAAGUCCAGGUACUUAAUUAAAUUAUUUUCAAAAUUUGGUUUCUCUUUUUGUAAGUAUUAAAAAUUAGAUGUCUCUUUUUGUAAAUAUUUUCAAAAGGCAUCUAGAAUAAAUGUUUUUAAUUUAAUAAAUAAGAUGAUAAUUAUUAAUAUAUAAUUAUGUCCAUUAUAAUAUAUAUUAAUUAUUAUCAACUUUGCAUAGAAUUAGGAUUAGUUUAAAUUUGAUCAUAUUUUAUUUAAUAAGUUUUAUUUUAAUAAACUAAUAACAAAUAAUAAUUUAAUAUACAUUAUAUUAAUUAUUAAUUUUUGUUAACUUUAUGUAGAAUUAGAACUUAGAAUAUUUUAAUUAUUAAUUUGUUCUAAGAAUUCUAAUUAAACUCCUACUCCUUUCAUUAUAAAUUUCACCCACCUUUUCCAUUUUUUCACUCAUCCCUCAAUUAAAUCCUAGCAUCCACAACUCACCAAGCUCCAAAUCACCUAGUGCCAAAAUCUCUAGCCGCAACACCGCCUAGCUUCACUCGGCACCCUCACCCAUUCGGCCAGCAGCCCCACGCAUGUACCCAGCAACCCCACGCACAACGUGUGCGCCACCAGCCGCUCUGUGCCGUUGCACCUGCCACUCGUCCGGCUCUAGUAGCUCGCCAGGCCUGCUCGACUCACUUGCUUACUGACCACUACCCUACAUCCGAGCGGCACACACAUGCCCUGCUACUCCUUAGCAUGCUGUUGCCGCCUUGCUACUCACACCACACUAUCAAGACACCCUACAACCAUCCCUAAACCAACCUCUUUUGCUUUUGCUUUAGAUUUAUUUUCUUUGAGUUCUUAACUUUUAUAAAAAGGUGGUAAGACAAAUUUUUCUCCUAAAAUUUCAAUUUUAUUUAAUUAUUUAAAAUUUCAAAUUAUUGAAUUAUUAAUAUUUUAUACUAAUUAAAUUUUUGAGAAAAUAUUUUUUCUAUCUUAUGAUUAGGUUAAUCAUGCCUCGUAAAAGAACUCGUGCCUCUACCCAAAUUGACGAAUCACAAAACAAAUUCCACUAUGAAGAAGCUAAAGCGAGAUACGAAAACAUUUUCAAGAAUCAAUAGAUGCACCCAGAAAAAGGCUUUACGCUGAAAAAAACAACUAUAUUGAUUUCAUGGCAUGCAUUCGACAAGUUGCUGAAGCUCUCAAUUGGGAGUUGUUUUGUGAGAAAAGACCUAGUGUGGAUGAGGAGUUAGUCCGUGAAUUUUAUGCGAAUUUAAUUUUAAGCGAUUUGAUGGAAGUUUCUGUUCGCGAAAUCAAGAUACCAAUAACCUGAAAUGCUAUUAAUGAAUUCUUUGAAUUACCUAAUUUCAAAAACAACGAAUAUUAUUCCUUGAUGAGCAAUAUGGAGUCUAAAAAUCUGCAACAAAUUCUCGAGGAACUUACAGUUCCAGGUUCUAAGUGGACAGUGUCAAAGUAAGGAAUUCACACUUGUCGCAAAGAAUAUUUGACACCACUAGCGAAGGUAUGGUUAUAUUUCAUUCGAUUCAGCCUUAUGCCUAUUUCACAUGGGACUACAAUUUCAUUAGAGCGAAUGGUCUUAUUAUACUCGAUUUUAACUGGAAAGACCACUGAUGUGGGAAAAAUCAUCCUGAGAGAAAUACAAAAUUGUGCCUCUAGACGUUCUGGCCCAGCUUACUUCCCCUUACGAUAACAAUUUUGUGCUUGAAAGCUAAAAUUCUUGCAAACGUAAAGAAAACAAGUUAUAGCCAGGGCACAAUCACAGAUUGGGACCUCUACGGGAUAGCCAGAGACUCAGUUCUACAGCAACGAGUUGAAGAAAGCGAGGAUCCCGAAUAAGAAGAAGAAGAUCCCACAGAGAUCAAACCGAUGCAAUCAGCUGAAAUCCCUGAUAAGGCAGAACCAAUGGAACCAGUAGCCGAACCUGAUGUCACAACUUCAAUGUUUAGAACUCAAUCGUCUUGCCUAGAUCUUCGAGAUGAGCUGUCAAAGUUGAUGGACAUAAUGCAGCAUAUGCAGUGGCAGCAACAAACUUACUAGAGAUAUUCAAAAAUACGGGAUGACUCAAUGAGAAGCGCUCUUACGAAAAUAUACAAUAACCCGUUUAUUUUUGUUCCUGAUUUUCCAUAUUUCAUAUUUGAACCAUGGAGUCCACUAUCGAAGAAGAAGCAAAGACGACGGAGCAAAAGAUGAGUCAAAUUCGGAAGGAUCUGCAAAUAAAUAAAAGGGGGAGAUCUUGACUUUAUUUUAUUUCUAUUCUUAGGUUAUUUAAUGUUUUAGGAUUAGGUUCAAUUGGGAUUUUUAUUUUUCGCAUAAUAAAACAAGAGGUGGAAAUCAUAAAUAAAAAUGAGCAAGUUGCAAAAUACAAAGUGUGUCAAUAGAUAUAUACAUGUCUAAGAUUGGAUCUAGAGAGAGCUUGGUACUUUGAAAUUUUUCUUCUCAGAAUAAAUUUUUCUUUUAAUUAUGAUUAGUAUAUAUUUUGUUCAAAAAUUUGAAAUUUUGUUAAGUAUGCUAAACUUCAGUAUAAAUAAAGUUCGAUUAUUUCAAUAAUUACUAUGUUAGCUUAAUAAUGACAUGAAUGUAUUUUUAAUAAAAAUAUUUUAGCUCCUUAGGAAAGUUAGGCAUGCAUGAAAGUUUAAGUCUCUACAAUUGGCUUAGUAGUUUCUUGAGGCGAAAUCCUAGGAAGCAUGGAAUGUUCAAAAUGAUUUAGGCAACUUGUUUUUGGACCGUUUGAGCUUUUCAAGCCAACCAUGAUGAAUUUUUAUCCCUUGAAACCCAACUUUGAGACUAUAUGGCCUAAUUUUAUUUGAACCCUUGCAAUGUUUAGCCAUCACUUCUCUCUUAAUUAUCUUUAAAUUAUCCGAAACACUAGACUCAGUACUAUUUAGAAUAUUCUUUGAAAAUAAGUUUGGAGGAGUUGAAAAGAAGUAUCAAAUGCUAAAAAAAAUUGUAGUGCAUAUAGUAAAAUGAUCAUGUUAAAAAAAAGAGAGCAUAUGUACUUGAAAGAAAAUAGAUGAACAAAAGAGCAUGUGAAAGCAAAGUAAGUUGGUGUGUUGAAGGUAAUUAUUUCGAAGGUCCGAUUGAAGCUGAGUCUAGGGUUUUUAGCCUAAAUUUAUCUAUCUUUUACCUACCCCUAGCCUAGCCAUGUUACAACCUUUUUAAAGACCUAUUGAUUCAAGUUUCUAUGCUACCUACAUUAGUGGAGAGAAGUUGCUAUGAUCAACAUAUGAAGGCAUAAGUUAAACUUAAUGGUUGCAACUUAAUCUUGAAUAAGAGAAUAAAAUCAAAUUCGCAGGGAUUUAACAUGUCCAACUAUAAAUAGAUGCCUCUUCCUUCAUUGUAAAGAGGGGAAGUGGGGAGUAAUAAUAAUUCUUAAGAGUAUUUACUCAAAUUUCUCUCUCUCUUGCGUUCUUAUUUUGUUAAUUUGUGUAUAAUUUAUUUAUUGAUUUGUAUAUUAUUGAUUUCAAAUCUCUUUUUCCCUUAUUAUUCAUUUUCAAAUUCAUUAUUUUCAAAUUUGUUUACAUUUUAUUUUGCCUUAUAUUUUUUUUUGAUACUCUUUGUUUUAAAUUCAUUGGUCUUUGAUUAUUGAUGCUAUUUAAUCCUCUAUUUGUUAUUUUAGUUUUUCUUAUUAUUAAAUUAAUUAUUUUAAUAUUAUUAAUACUAUUAUGUGCCAUCAUUAAUCUUGUAUUAUUAUUAUUAUUAUUAUUAUUAUUAUUAUUAUUAUAAUAUUCAUGCGCAUGCAUCGUUUUUAUGUAAUAUAUAUAUUGUUUUAUAUAUAGUAUACGUAUGCUUAUAUAUAUUUUAUACAUAUGUUUUUGUUUUUAUUUUACUUCCUAACUUUUAUAUACAUAUAUAUACUUUUAUAUUUAGUUUCAAUUUUUUUUUACUUUUGUAUAUAUGUACAUGUAUGUAUUUAUAUAUUUUUUCUAAUGAAUAUUUAUAUAUAUAUAUAUACGCACAUGUCUAUGUUUUUUAAUUGCUUAAAUACAAACUUAAAUUUUCAACACAUAUGUUAUAAUGUAUAUAUGUAUAUUUAUAUAUUUUUCUUUAUUUUCAUAAAUGCAUUAUAUAUAUUUUGUUAUAAAUUCUAUAGUCCAAAAUUUUAUAUGUAAACCCAUGUGUAUGUAUUUUAUUCUUUAUAAUUUCAUGUAUAUAUUUUGUACCUUUUUUUUCUCUUUAUAUUUUUUUGUUUAUUUCUUUCAUUUGCUUAUUGAUUUGUGUUUUCAUUUAUAUUGUUCAUUUGAUACUUUACAUGUCGUUGUUUUUUAUGUACAUUAAUUUGGUUUAUUUCUAUGCCAUUGUUGUAUUUAUUAUUGUAUUUUACACUUAAUGUAGCAUUACAUCAUUUUUUUACUCGAUUUUAAAAUUUUCAAAAUUGAGAUAAUACUCGUAUUUAGGAUUUUCAAGGAAAUUGAGCCCUAACGUAUUGGGUUCCAAUUUUCUUCGUUAAAUCUAACAAUCGAGAAUUGCUCAUUAAUCAAAAACUAAAAUGAAAAGCUUGUUGUCGGGAAUUUAAUAUGUUGUAUCCUAACGUAUUGGAUGUGACGUAUUGAUUUCUCGAGACAAAGAUUUUUUUUUUAAAAAAUAAUAACAAAGGAAAUAUUUCAAGUUUAGGAUUUUGAGAAAUUGUGCCCUAACGUAUUGGGCCGCGAUUUCUUUAUAAAUCUUAAACAAAUGAAUAUUCUUUUAAAUUUUAUUACACGAGUAUUUUGGACUAAUUCAUUUUUGAGGAAUUAGAAUGUCGUGCCCUAACGCAUUGGGUGUGACAUUUUCUUUCUUCGAAAUGAUAAGAGUCUUAAUAAGUAACGUUUUUUAAGUUUUUAUUAAGGAUCAUAUUUUUAAAUUUUCGACAUUAAAGUACUAAUUAAUUAACUAGGUACCAAUUUUGGGCAUUACGAGGGUGCUAAUCCUUCCUCGUACGUAACCGACUCCUGGAUCCAUUUUUCUAAAACUCGUAGGCCAAAGCUAUUUUUUAGGUGAUCCAAUCACACCUCAAUAAAAUAUUGGUGGCGACUCCCAAUUUUUGUUUUUUUAAAGUAGACAACUAAUUUUUGUUUUUUUCCAAAAUAAAAGUUAGUUUCGACAGCUUGGCGACUCCGCUGGGGACAAACACGAGAGUCGAGCCAAAAAUUGAUUAAUUUCUGUCUUAUGUCGAAAAUUUUUUUGAGAUCCUUUUGUAUUCAUUAUUUUCUUGCUUAAUUGAUCUUUGCAUUAUACAUUGCAUGAGUUGAAUGAUUUUACCCCUCUAAGUGGGAGUGAGAAACUAGUCCUUCGUGAUGUUUUCACCUCUGUGCAGGAUAGUGGAUCUCUUUCGGGAUACAUUCGUACCUAUGUCUUCGUGAGAUUUUCAUCUCCGUGUAGCCAUAGGGAAAUGUAUCCCCUUGAACUGAACUCGGUCUGUAUGAGCCUAUAAUGGGUGAGGAUUGAGAAAUCUGCUGGUUCAGGUACCCUUACUUCAGAACCGAACCGCAUAUAGAAGACCUUAGGAGCUCACCCUAGGUAGAGCCACUUCAAACCCCUAGUGGUCACCCGAAUAGACGUUUUAUUUAUUCUUGCUUGUUUUUGCUUUGUACUAACCUGUUUCUUUUUUGUUAUGAUUGCAUUACAUUUUCAUCAUAAAAAAGAGGUGUUGAUUCACGUUCAGUUGUGAAAUAGAGAGCUUGUCAUAAGAAAAUGAGUUUCUUGAUAAAAUGGAAGACAAUAUGGUUGUCCGAAUAUGGUCCAAGAAAACAUGGUAAGAGAAGGAUGACAGUUUAAUGGAGGAUUACACGACUAUGGCUCCGUUGCCCAAGGAUUCAAGAUAACAAAGAUUAUUCGAGAGCCGCUAAACUUUCUUAAAGAGAAGCCAACGAGCAUCACGAGGAUGAGUGAGCAAUGAUUUACAGCCCGGAUCAAGCAAAGAGGAGAUGGAAGAGACGUACCUUUUGAAGAGUUCGUGAGAUUUAUCUUAACGCUCGAAUGAAGAAAAGGAUCGAAUGUCUUCGCCUAUGAGGGCAAGGCCAUAUAAAUAUCCAUUUUAUGCAAAGAGAUUUAUUUUCUAGAAAAGUUUUCUAAAUGAAAUUGAAUCAAAAUUGACGCCUUUUUGCAUUCAUUUCAUGCAUUGCAUUUGCUUCAUAUAUAUUAAAAAAAUACUAAAAAAUUCUAUUUAAUUUAAGUCAUUCCUCAGAUAAUCUAGAAACCAACCAACCUACCAAACACCGCUACGGUACUCGAUCGAAAACUAAAGACAUGGAACAAAGGCUAGAACAGUUCCAAAAGGAAAUGCAAGAUCAGCUUCAACAACAAAUGAAUGAGCAGCUUGAGAAGAUUCAACAAAAAAGAUGGACAAAAUGAUGGAAUCUCAAGGGAAUAUGAUGGUUAAGUUGACUCAGUUGCUGACUGGAGGAAUUGAUAAAGGAAAAAGCUCUGUGCUUAAUGUUGAAGAAGGAGACAGUGAGGGACCUGUUUAUCCCCUAGGCUUUACCCCUCAGCAUGUUGAGGUAUAUCCACGCAAAUCUUCUGUCACCAUCAAGCCCCAGCAGUUUCAGGCCGGUGCUGUAACACCAAUGAAUUUUCAAGCAGGAUCAGGCUCUAACCCCGGAGACAACAUUGUUAAUCCUGCUAUCCCUAACUUCGACGAAACAGCUAAAAAAGAGAAAAUGAAGGAUGAAUUGCCAAAACAGCUAGAAAAAAAGUACAAAUGGCUGGAAGAGAAAUUUAAAGCGAUGGAAUGUGUUGAGAGCUACUAUGGGAUUGAUGCUAAAGAAUUAAGCUUGGUUCCAGAUUUAGUACUCCCUUACAAGUUCAAAGUGCCAGAGUUUGAGAAGUAUAAUGGAACUAGUAGUCCUGAAGCCCAUAUUACUACGUUUUGUAGGCGGAUGACUGGGUAUGUUAGUAAUGACCAGUUGCUGAUACAUUGUUUCCAGGAUAGCCUCACAGGGGCAGCGUCCAAGUAAUACAGUCGACUAAGUCAUGCCAAGAUUAAUUCAUAGAAAGAUUUAACAUAGGCAUUCAUAAAGCAGUACAAUCAUGUAACUGACAUGGUACCAGAUAGAAUCACUCUACAAAACAUGGAAAAGAAUCCCGGUGAAAGUUUUAGGCAAUACGCAUAGAGGUGUAGGGAGGUCGCCGUCCAAGUUCAGCCACCGCUCUUGGAAAGGGAAAUGACAAUGCUAUUCAUAAAUACAUUGAAAGCUUCGUUCAUCACACAUAUGUUAGGGAGUGCCACAAAAAGAUUUUCUGACAUAAUCAUGAAUGAUGAAAUGAUUGAAAGCGCCAUAAGGAGAAGAAAGAUUGAUGCUGGAAGGCAAGCCUCAAAAGAAAAAGAAAAUGAGGUGAACAACGUGAAUACAUACAGCAAAUCGAUUGCUAAUCAGUAGGGUUCAUCAAGACAAGAAUCAUGUGUGAAGCAAGAUACUGAAAAACUCCAGUUCACGCCAAUUCCAAUGUCGUACAAGGAGUUGUAUCAAAGUUUAUUCGAUGCGCAUGUUAUUUCUCCUUUAUAUGUGAAGCCUCCAUAGCCUCCGUAUCCCAAAUGGUACGACGCAAGUGCACAAUGCGAUUAUCAUGCUGGAAUUACGGGACACUCAAUAGAGUUUUUUUAAAAAACUCUAACGAUUAUCAUGCGGUUUUGCCUAUUGAAGAUAAAAUUCUUUCUAAGUUUUUGAAUCCAAUUCUGAUUGAAAAGAAAUGUUCAAAGUUGUCCAUCAUGGUCAAAUGUGUCAAAAGCAAAUGAUGCAAGUUCACAAAAAAGGUCCGUCCUAAAGAAUUCCUUGAGAGAGACCUGGUAUUGAAGAAGAUCCUUCCCAUACAAAAAGAACUUCAUCCCAAGCUGGGAAGGACCUUAUGUGAAAGACCUUAUUUGGAAAAGCGUCAAUUUUGAUCAAAAAGAAUAACAAUGACAUGCAUAAUCCUAUGAUUUCAGAUUCAAUCAAAAAUAUUUCAAAAUAUAAAAAAAAGCAAAAAAAAAGGAAGAAAAGAAGAAAGAAAAUGGAGAGCCAAGGUGAAAACCCGCAAAGGGCGCCUUGAGACCAAAGGGGAUUUAAGUUGAAAACUCAAAAAGGGCGGCUCAAAUAUUGAUCAGAAUGGGGCAUGAGGUGAUCAGAGUAGUUCAAAUUUUGAUCAGAUUGGGGCAUAUGAUGAUCUUGAAUCAACAGGAAAGGGUAGACAACAUCUUGGGACAUCGACAGAGUACUGUAGAUCUCCUAAACACAUGUCAAACUCAGAAAGUUUGUAUAGAGAAGUUCAAGCUGCGAUAUCUGGGGCAUCCAAUUUUUAAAUUGAAUUUGCUAUUUUUGGAAUACUUCAUUCUUUUCCAAGAUACACAUUCCCAGUCAAUUUCUUUGUUAUCCUUAUUUUUUGAUAAUCUAUUCCUUUCGAGCUAUGCUCAGAACCAAUUGUAUUCUCAUCCAUUGUUAUACCCUUUUUGCAAGCAUGUUGCAUUGGAAUAAUGAUUAAUGGACUAAUAAAACUUUCACAAGGGAAGUUUGGCAUAUUACUCUAGAAGUUUCUAAAUAAUACAGGAACCUGAAACAAGACUAUUGUUUAGAACGCACCAUGUUUAAAUGUUGGAAAUCUGAAAAGGAAGAGUCUAAAUUAGGACUUUCUCUUUGGAUUUUGUUGUUAAAAACAUUGAUUGAACAAAAUGACAAAGCUAAAAUAAACAAGUAAGCAAUGAUCACCGAACAGUAGGAAGAGGUUUUCUUGGAGAAGAAAGCCUUCAUUUAUGAUUGAGCCUUUUGUACGAUACCUUGGGAAUGGUGUAAGGGACCAAAGAGAUUUAGAUCCUGUAUCAUUGAAUUGUGAUAAGAGAGGAUCGAGAAAAAGCCAUAUAUUCCUACCUUUGGGUUACAGUGGGAGAAUGAUGGUACAAAUUUUGCGCCCCAAUGGAUUGAACUUUGAGGUUUAUAGUGGGGGGCAACCUGACUAAAUGUUUCUUCAAAAAAGCUAGCCAAGCAAGAAGGUGUCGUAGCACAUCAGUGUUAAAGCCUUAAUAAACUUCGAGCAAUGACAACCUAAGUGGGAUCAUUCUCGGAAAAAAAAUUAUUAAAAAAAUUAUGCAUUCGUGCAAACACCAUUAAAAAAUGUCUAGUUAGGAGCAUUUGAUUCAUUUUAUGCCAUCCUAAUCAUUAGGCAAAAUUAGGUUCAUUAGACAUGUCAUGUUCCCCAGAGAGCAGAUCAGUGAAGAUAACAGAUCUUGCCUUCCUACACUGACAGCAAAGCAGAUUGAAGACACCAGCCUUGUCUCCCUGGGUUGUAGCGGAGCAGGUUAAAAAUAGCAGAUCUUGCCUUCCUGCACCGACAGCGAAGCAGAUCGAAGACACCAGCCUUGCCUCCCUGGGUUGCAGCGAAGCAGGUUAAAAAUAGCAGAUCUUGCCUUCCUGCACGGACAGUGAAGCAGAUCGAAGACACCAGUCUUGCCUCCCUGGGUUGUAGCGGAGCAGGUUAAAAAUAGCAGAUCUUGCCUUCUUGCACCGACAGCAAAGCAGAUCGAAGACACCAACCUUGCCUCCCCGGGUUGUAGCGGAGCAGGUUAAAAAUAGCAGAUCUUGCCUUCCUGCACCGACAGCGAAGCAGAUCGAAGACACCAGCCUUGCCUCCCUGGGUUGUAGCGGAGCAGGUUAAAAAUAGUAAAUCUUGCCUUCCUGCACCGACAGCGAAGCAGAUCAAUAACCCCAGCCCUAUCUCCCUGGACAGCAGUGGAAUAGGUUGAAGAUUGUAAGUCCUAUCUCCCUGGUUAGUAGUGGAAUAGGUUGAAGAUUGUGAAUCCUAUCUCCCUGAGCAACAGUGGAGUAGGAUGAAAAUAGCAGAUCUUGCCUUCUUGUACUGGUAGUGAAGCAGAUCGAAGACAUUAGUCUUAUCGCCUUGACGUUGCAAUGGAAAAGAUUGAAGCCACAAGGCAAAUCUUAUUUCCCUGGCGUUGUAGCGGAGCAGAUUGAAGCUACGACGGUGAAUCUUAUCUCCUGAGCAUUAAGGCUUGGAUUAUCUGAAGUGGAGCGGAUUGAAGCUGUGUGCAGUGAAUCCUAUAUCUUUGGCAUUACAGUGGAGCAGAUUGAAACCACGACGGUGAAUCUUACUCCCCUGACGGUGUAGUGGAACAGAUUGAAGCUACGACGGUGAAUCUUGUUUCCCCAACAUUGCAAUUUAAAAGACUGAAGAUGGCGAAUCUUAUCUCCCUGAAGUUGUAGUGGAGCAGAUUAAAGCCAAUAAUCCUAUCUCCCUGAAGUCACAGUGGAGCGGAUUAAAAUCACAAAUCUUAUCUCCUUGAAGUUGCAGUGGAGCAGACCCAAGAAAGCGAGUCUUAUCUCCCUGAAGUUGCAGUGGAGCAGACUCAAGAAAUCAAGUCUUAUCCCUCUGAAAUUGCAGUGGGGCAGACUAAAUAAACAAAUCCCAUCUCUCUAAAGUUGUAGUAGAGUGGAUUAGAAUCUCUCUGAAAUUACAGUAGAGCAGAUCGCAUCAAGUUCAUCUUUAAAGUUGCAGCAGAUCAAGUUGAAGCUAUAAGUCUUAUCUCCCUGGAGUUGCAGUGGAGCAGAUUAAAGAUAGCAAAUUUUGAAAAACUACAACGUGCAAAUCCUAUCUCCCUGGCAUUGCAGUGGAGUAGGUUGAAGCACCAGUUCCUAUACCUCUAAAGAUGCAGUAGGAAGGAAUGAGGCUAUUUGAAGAAGAAGAAGAAGAGUGCUAAAGUCUAGUACGACCAGCAAAAUUGGUCAUUUCUAAAGUCUUUGCUCCGUUCUUGUUACAUGAUAAUGAGAAAAGAGGGGCAGCUGUAAUAGACCAAUUUAGCCCGGGCUCAUAAAAAAAUAAUAAACCCAAAAUAAUAAAACAAAGUCCAAAAUUAUAUCAUUUGGCCCGAUCGGGAUGGCCCAUUACUUGAAAAGGUUGAAGGUCUAUCUACAAGCUUGAUGCAUAUGGAAACAUAAUCUUCAAUGAUAUGCAAUCUUCGAUAUGAUAUGUAAUCUUAGAUAUGAUAUGCAAUCUUAGAUAUGAUAUGUAAUCUUAGAUAUGAUAUGCAAUCUUAGAAGAUAUGAUUUUGUAAUCUUAGAGAUUUAAUUUGUAGAUACCUUUUAAUCUUAGCCGUUGAUGUAAUUAAUCUAUACCGUUGGAUUUGGGGAGGCUCAGCUAUAAAUAGAUGUCUCUCCCUUCAUUGUAAAGGGGGGAAGUGGGGAGUAAUAAUAAUUCUUAAGAGUAUUUACUCAAAUUUCUCUUUCUCUUGCGUUCUUAUUUUGUUGAUUUGUGUAUAAUUUAUUUAUUGAUUUGUAUAUUGUUGAUUUCAAAUCUCUUUUUCCCUUAUUAUUCAUUUUCAAAUUCAUUAUUUUCAAAUUUGUUUACAUUUUAUUUGGCCUUAUAUAUUUUUUAUUUUAUACUCUUUGUUUUAAAUUCAUUGGUCUUUGAUUAUUGAUGCUAUUUAAUCCUCUAUUUGUUAUUUUAGUUUUUUUAUUAUUAAAUUAAUUAUUUUAAUAUUAUUAAUACAAUUAUGUGCCAUCAUUAAUCUUGUAUCAUUAUUAUUAUUAUUAUUAUUAUUAUUUUAUAUUCAUGCGCAUGCAUCGUUUUUAUGUAAUAUAUAUAUUGUUUUAUAUAUAUUAUACGUAUGCUUAUAUAUAUUUUAUACAUAUGUUUUUGUUUUUGUUUUUAUUUUACUUCCUAACUUUUAUAUACAUAUAUAUACUUUUAUAUUUAGUAUCAAUUUUUUUUUUACUUUUGUAUAUAUGUACAUGUGUGUAUUUAUAUAUUUUUUGGACUAAUUCAUUUUUGAGGAAUUAGAAUGUCGUGCCCUAACGCAUUGGGUGUGACAUUUUCUUUCUCCGAAAUGAUAAGAGUCUCAAUAAGUAACGUUUUUUUAAGUUUUUAUUAAGGAUCAUAUUUUUAAAUUUUCGACAUUAAGGUACUAAUUAAUUAACUAGGUACCAAUUUUGGGCAUUAUGAGGGUGCUAAUCCUUCCUCGUACGUAACUUACUCCCAGAUCCAUUUUUCUAAAACUCGUAGACCAAAGCUAUUUUUUAGGUGAUCCAAUCACACCUCAAUAAAAGAUUGGUGGCGACUCCCAAUUUUUGUUUUUUAAAGUCGACAACUAAUUUUUGUUUUUUUCCAAAAUAAAAGUUGGUUUCGACAAUUGGUAUGGCCUAUCUGCGAACACCUUAACUUCGAAUCGGUCUAGACUGUGAGGUCGAGAGAUAAGUAGCUCUUUCCAACUCAUUAUUCUAGUGGAAGAUCAGAAGAUCCUACAAGGGUAUCGACUAGUUGAUUGAACAAGAAGCCCAAAGAGACAAUUGAUUAUGAUUAGUGAAGCGAGCUAAUCACCCAUGCUUAGAUUUGAUAAAUUCUACUAUUUGAUUUCCUGCUAUUUAUUUAUUUAUGUUCUUUUAUUAUUAUAAAAAAAUCCCAAAAACCUUUCUUUAUAUUUUGAUGUAAUAUAAUCUAUCUAAAGUAUUAAUUAGACAUAUUUGUGCUUAGGUUAGAGUUAACUUGCCUCCCUUGGGUAUGAUCCUCAGAGUACUUACCUACUCCGUUGUAACUAUAUUACAACCUGACCCGUAUACUUGCGGUUACAUCCUUUUUAAAAUAUUUUGUGCAGAAUUUUUACUCUGGACGUUGGUACGUCUGGAGGCGGUCAAUAUCUUCUUCAUUCGACAAAAAUAAGGAACAUAAAAGAAAUAAGCUUGUAUGUUACUCAACACCAUUUUCGUGAGAUAAUCCAAAGGUUAAUGAGCUUCUUCAUUGAAAUUUUUAUUAGAUUUCUACCCUAUUAUGAUAGAUGAAAAUGACCCACUUGAUAAAUUAGAAAUUGUCAAAUUUUAGCUUAGUAACCAUUAAUGAAAGUUUGAAUGCUAGUGACAUAAUGGUUGAACUUUGAGUAGUAUUAUGUUUAUUGUUAAUUAGAUGUUCCUCAAUUAUAGUUUCAAAGUUGUAUUUAGAUUCGAUAGGGUAAAAUAUAAAAUAUGAGGAUUUCAAAUAUUAGAGCUAUAAGGGACCUAAUUAAAAAGAAUGCAUAAAAAGUUUAAUUUAAAUUUUUAUAAGUAGGAGAAUUUAAUAAUGUCUUUAUACUUGAAAUAUUGAAAGAUGCUAAAAACGAGGUUGGAACAUUGAGGGACAAUGAACAAGUAAGAUCAGAUAACAAGCAAUGAUGUCAAUUUGUGCUACUAUAAUUAGAUUUCAGUAAUUUAUUUUAUUGAAUAGCUAGUCGAUAUAAUCUAGUACGAAAUAAAUGUCAAGGUAACUACAUCUCUACUUAAAAGCUUUGAAAUGAUGAAUUAGAUGUGUUUGUGUAAAUCAUGUUAUAAAUGAUUGAUUUUAGGAUAUGAUUCUAUAUACUCAAUUUAUAAGCAUUGCUAUAUUGAUAUUUGACUAUGAUGAUAUAUGUUAUGAUAAUAAUUAUAAUAAUACUUCCCCAUUAAACAAUGUUAGAUGUAGUUUGAGUGUAGUUGGCAUGCCAUAGGAUUAUUAUCAGUGAUUUUAUUUAGCCCCAAUUCCCAGAAGAUCAUGAGAAGUCCCAAUUCCAAAGGGUCAUGCACAUAUAUUGAUAUACAAAUUAGUAGCUUUAAUUCCUAAAGAGUCGUGAGCAGUCCCAAUUCCCUGAGGGUUGUGGGCAAUUCCAAUUUCUAGAAGGUCAUGGACUUACUUUGACAUGCAUAUUUGAGUAUUCAUUCUAGUGUCUACAUUCAGUUAAUAGGGGCUACACUGAAUAAGAAAUGAAAAGUGAUAUUUAUUGAAAUGUUAUAUGUUUGAAUAGGCAUUAAUGCUUAAUAAUGAACUAUGAAAUGAAAUAACCUAAUAUUGGGAAAUGAGACAGUAACUAUCUUGACUUAUAUGUAAACAUGUUCUAUGUUUGAUUCAUUUAUAUAUAAUUGUAUUAAUUUCAAAUUAUUGGCACAACUGAAUAUUCAAUAUGUAGCGUAUAGAUUUGUUUGUUUUCAUGCGUAGGUACAAAUUAGACUUGUUGGUAGACCGUAGGACCAUCAAGCGUCCAACUUUUGACAACUCAGCUCAACUUGGUUAAAUCUUGUGUUAGUUUUCUAUAAAGUUAGUUAAUGGCAUCUAUUUAACAACUCAAUUUUUAGUGGUACUGGAAAAGGCAAUUUCGGAACCCCACUUUUAUAAAACGAGUCUCUAAAUAUUAAAUAUUUAUAUUUAUGAGGUAAACAUAGAAAUAUAUCAAAGAUUGGUCAAUUUAUUGAAUUGAUAGUUAAUUAAGGUACAAGGACUAAACUGUAAAAGUUUAUCUCUAUAGGUUUUUAAUUGGCCAAAGACUUAGGGAAUUAGUUUGAAAUUAACCAAAGGUAUCAAAUGAGAAUUAAACCAUUUUAAUUUAUAUGUUAGUGGAGUAUGAUGAGAGAAUCCACUUAUAUAAGUUAAUGGUGGAUUAAGUUAAUAAAAUGUAAUUAAACUAAUUAAUUAAAGUGUAAUUAAACUAAUUAAACAUCCUAAAAGUGUAAGGAGAAACCAUGUUUUAGCUUAAACAAUUCUGUCCCUAAUUGGUAAGCUUUUCUAAGUCCUUUUUUCUUGUAAUUUUUAUGUUUUUAAGGUCAUGAGAGCUUGAUUUAGCUAGCCCAUGUACCAAUUCGUAAAAAUGUCAAAGUUUUUAAAAGUUUCCAUUGUUUAUUUCUUGAAAAAAUUGGUGCCAAAUUGAUAGAUUUUAAGCUUAGAUGUGAAAAAGGACUAGAAUGUAAAGUUUAAUUGACAGUUUUGUACAUAAGGACUAAAGUGUAUAAAUUGUAUAAUUGAUAUGAAAUUUUUGUUAUAAUAGAUAGUAUAGGGGUCCUAAAAGGGUGUGAUUGAGAUUGAUUUUGAAACUGAUGCUCAAAAUCGAAAGUUAUUGUUAUUUCAAUUUUAGGGGCGAAAUUGAAUAAGAUGUAAAAAUUUAGGGGUUCAAAAAAUUGAAAUUUUAUAGGUUCAUGCAUAUCACGGAAUGAUAUAAAAUAUUUUAUAUUGAUGAAUUGUCUAAAAUAAUUGUUUAGAUCAAGAAUUGAAUCAAAUUAGGGAUAAUCGAGGAAAAGCCACAAUUAUUGAAUAGCCCCUGAAGAUUCAACUUAUUUGUUAUUUUUUUCCCGGUAAGUUCAUAUGGUAUAAAUGUUUUUAAGUUGUGGUUUAUUUUAUUUGUGAUUAUAUGUGUUUGGUUGCGAAUUGGUAUUAAGGUGAGAUUUGGACUAAAUUGUAAAGAAAUGUAUAUAUGUGUUAAAAAUGCUCAGGUGAAUGAUCUAUCUUAAUUUGAUAUGUCAAAGUAGUCUUCCCAGUUAUAAUUAAGGAGCUUGUUUUCAAGCAAAUUAGUUUUGCGUAGUUUUCAGAUUUUUUUUUUAUUCAAUAAGUGUUUAAUGUGUUUUUGUGCUCAUUUUGAGACCCAAAUUGGACAAAUGCGCCAUUUGGACCCUAAUGAUCGAUUAAGUGUUGUAAGAACUCAAUGAUGGCUCAUUUUUUAGCGAAAACAUCACCAAGGAGGGGUUAUUACGAUAUCAAAGCAUGAAAAUCAUGAUACCCUUAACAUUCCUAAAAUGAAAAGAAAAAUGAAGACCACCUACAGUGGUGUUGCGAUACCUAAUACCCAGCCUUCAAAGGGAACUCCUCAUUUAGAAAUUGCCAACGAUAUCAUGAUAUCUAGACCAUGGGUAUUGCGAUAUCAUUGUCAUGAGGGGAAAAAAGUUAACAUCAGAGGUAGUCUUUGUCCAACCGAAGCACCAAUCAAAAAGACAUGUUGAAGGGCAUUUUGGUAAAAAAAGGGUCAAAAUAGUUGCUAAAAAGAACCAAAAAUUGGCUAAAGAGAGUGAGAGGAGGCAUUAGGCAUAAUUUUUAGUCAUCUUCUUAGUUGCUCUCCUUUAUAGUUGUAGAUAUAAUUUUCUACUAGUUUCCUCGUGUUUCUUUGCAUUCUUAACUGUAGCUUAGGUUUAUUUACACGUUUAGGACCUUUAACUUUCUUGUACUGACAUUUUCAUCUCUAGUUUAAUGUUCUUUCAAUAUGUUUUCUUUUUCUUUAUUAAAAAUCUAAUAUUUAUUAUUCUUGUUCAUUUAUCUUGUUCUUAGUUUCUUUUCCUUUAAUUCUUUCAAAUUAAAAACCCAAGCUUUCAUCUUUUUAUUGAGUUUUAUGUUCAUGCCUUUCAUGGUAGCUUCUUUGAUGUUAGCUUAGAAAAGAUAAUGGUUAACUAAACCCUAUGGGGGUUGGUUAAUGGAGAUGUAGGUAACUUAUUUUUGGGUCGAGGAAUAAAUUGCAAUAAAUUGGACUAAAUUGAAUGAACUUAAAAACUUAGGAUUGAUGCCCCUAAGGGAAAAUCAAGAUAAGUGAGACUGAGAGGUAACCUUAUUGGGAACCGAUUCAUUAAUUCUUGGUUAAUCAGGUGAGAUUGAGAGGUAAACCGAACUAAUUUAUCUAACUUGGUAAAAUUGAGACUGAGAGGUAAAAUAGAUCCAUUUUAGGAGUUUAAGCAAUUUAGAUCCCUAAUUCAAUGAUUAAUAAACCGCAUUGAAGUUAACCAACCACCGCUCAUUAUUGAUUGGAUAGUUUUAUCACCUUGCAUGCUUUACAAUUUGGUCAUUUUGUUAAUUAUUUAGCUAAUUGGUUUAAUAAAACUCAAAUUCAUGGUCUGUCGUACUAUGUUAUCUAGCGAAUAGUUGUUUAAACUCUUUAUUUGCAUGUUUGUAGCUAGAAUUCACUUAAUCGUCGAGUUCUGUGGGUUCAAUUCUUAGAACACUCAUGUACCCCGUUGUACAAAUUAUAUUACAACUGACCUGUCACACUUCUAGACACCACAUGUACUUAUUCUUGUAAUGGCCCAAAUUUGCCCAGCCCAAAUCAGAAGUAAAUAAAUAAUAAAUAUAAAACCAAAAUUAAAAGUCCAAAAUAGUCCCUUUACACCAGGCUCAAUGUGGCCCAAACCAAACAGACCCUAAAUCCCCAAUCCAAGUUACAGAAACCCAACUAGCCUAACCCCAAAACCAAGCCCAAAUACCCGCAGCCCAAAAUAGAGAAAAUCAGCAGCAAACCCUAGAGACCAAAACCCUAAACUAAGACGCCACAGCAGCCUCGCAACGCGCUGCCUUCGGCUUUCCUCUCUACGCGCGCCACGCCACCACCUCCGUACCCCCGUACCUUCAAACAAACAAACAAAAACAGCACAACAAAAAGAAAAAGAACGAUUGUAUUUUAUUUUCGUUUUCGGCUAUAAAAGAGCCAACAAAAUCUGUAAAAGGUUCCCUUUUUUUACGAUCAACAGACAGAGAGAAUACGCAGAGAUUGUAUCAAAAAAAACAAAAAUAAAUACAAAGGAAAAGGUUUUUUUUCAUUCUCUUUUUCGAUUGCUUUUCUUUUUGGCUGGUUCGUUAUUAAUCGCAUAUAAGCAUAUAUAAGGAAAAUAAGAAAGAGAAACUUACCUGGUUGGUGUCGUUAACCCCCCGUUUUGCUCUGUUGAAAUCGGAGUUAGAAAAGGUGGUCGUCUCUUGGCUGCAAACGGCGGAGCGGCGCAACAUUUGGGGGCUGAUGUUUAGUUUUUUUUUUUAAGUUUGUUUAAGGCUAAUAGUUAUUGAUUUAGGGUUUAUUUAGUUUUGUUUUAUAACCAAAGAAACGACACCAUUUUAAGACUGCUUAAGUGGCUUCAAAACGACGCCGUUUAGAGGCUUGCGACCCCGCGGUGACCCGACCCGGGGAAGGAUCCGCGCGUUUUGGCCUCUGUUGGGAAAUUUGCGCAGAUAGUCCUCCACUUUUAUAGAGCUUUCAAAUUGAUCCUUUUAUUUCUUUUAAAUUUGAUCGCUCAUUCUGUACUACAUUUCAAUUAGGUGUGUGCAAGGAUACUGUGUAUUGAGGGAAGGGAUAUUUACCCUUUUAGUCCCCAAGUUGUUCGCGCGUUCCUUUGUGGUCCUUAAUGUUAUUUUAUUUUUAUUUUCUCUUUUAAUUUUGGAAUUAAACGCAAGUUAGCCUGUUUUUGCUUAAUUUAAAUGUAUUCAAAAUUUUAUUUUAUUUUAAUAUUCAUCAUUUUUAAAAUAUAUUUAACUUUACAUCUAGCAUUAUUUUAUGUUUAAAUUUAGUAUAUUUUAAAUUUAUUACAAUAUUAUUUUAAUAUUAUAACAUAUUAUUGUUCUAAACAUAUCAUUAACAUUAUUUUAAAUUUAUCAUGUACAAUCUUAUGCAUUCUUGUUGCAAAUUCAAUAUAAUUUAUACAUAUUUUACAUCUUUAUUUUAUAAUACAUUUUUAACUACACUUAUAUAGUUCUUUGCUUUAAGAUUUAUACAAUAAUAUUCUUACUUAAUAUUUUUCUAUACAUGUAUAUAUAAUUUGUGUUAAAUUAUUUUUAUAUAUAUACAUAAUAUAUUAUCGAUUUCAUAUUAUUACAUAUCCUUUCAUAUAUUUUUAUGUAUAAAUAACUUAUUUAUUUCAAACCCUAUUUUAUUAUAUGUUUUACUUAUUUCAACUCUUUUAUCUAUUAUUAUGUGUAAUUUAUUUAUAUUAAGUUUUCCACUCCAUCUAUUACUUAUUUUAAAGUGUAUAUCAUUCUUUUCUAUUUUUGAAUGUUUCAAGUUUGCAAAUGUAUUAUUCAUUUUAAUUCUUUAUUCAUAUACGUAUAACCUAUUAUUGACGAUUUCAAAUAUUUUAUUUUUUCUCAUCAUUUUUGUUUUUGUUAGAUGAUUCCCUAAUUACCUUUUAAUUCAUUUACCUUUCUAACAUAAUAUUAAUAUUGGUUUAAUGUGCGGUAUGAUUGCUUUUAUGCUUAUUGUAUAACUUAUUCGCAUGAAUUGAUUCUUUGUAACUCGUUAGUAUUGAUUUUAGUUUGUAAAUUAGCUUUUCCCGAUGUACAAUGUUAUUUCGUUAUUCAUUCAAAAGAUUACAAGUGUCAAAGUUAUUUCAUUCAAAAACUUUCAAAAAUACUCGAAGUUUGGAAUCCUCGAGAGAAUUGAGCCCUAACGUAUUGGGUUUCAAUUUUCCUCGUCAAAUCUAAAUAAUCGAAAUUUUUUCAAACAUACAAAUUUCAAAUAAAAACCCAUUUUCGGGAAUUCGACAUGUUGUGUCCUAACGCAUUGGAUAUGACGUGUUAUUUCCUCGAGAUGAGAAUUUUUAAAAUAAUAAUAAAGGUAAUAUUCAAUAUUUAGGAAUUUAGUGAAAUCGAGCCCUAACUUACUGGGUUUCAAUUUUCUCAUUUGACCUAAAUGAUCAAAUAUCCUUCUCAAAAAUGCAUAGGUUUUAAAAGUUAAAAGAUAAACUUAAUUUUGAAGAUUAAAAAUGUUGCACCCUAACUCACUGGGUGUGACAUUUUAUUUCUUUGAAAUAAGAGUGUUUUAUCAUUCAAUUUAUUCAGGUUAAAAGAAUCGUACUUUAAAAUCUUUUCAAAAUUUCGACACUAAGACAUAAAAUGAUCAAUUCGGUACCAAUUUUGGGCGUUACGAGGGUACUAACCCUUCCUCGUGCGUAACCGACUCCUGAACCUAUUUUCUCAAAUCUCGCAGACCUAAAAUUUAUUUUAAUGGUGAACCGGUCACACCUUAAUAAAAGAUCGGUGGCGACUCUCAUUUUCAUUUUUAACUCGAUAACUAAAAUAUUUUGUUUUUCAAAAAUGGUUUCGACAAUUCUGAUUUGAUUGUUGUAUUAGUUGUUAGCACCGUUGUCGGGGAGCUAGUGCUAGAUUGAGUGACUAUAGCUUUAUUGCAAGAUUUAUAGGGAGAUAGUUGACUAAAGCUUUAUUUAUAGAUAUGAAUUUUUAUUUUGUUUCUUUGCUUGUUAUUUUGUUCAAAAAAUUUAUUGAUUGUGUGAAUCUCUUUUGCUUGUAGGAGGUAGUUUAUGACUCAGACUAGUAAUAAGAUUGUACUAUUUGAACCGAAAUUGAAAAGAAUCUUGACACAUAGUCAACAAGAACAACUUUUGAGAAGAGCCCAACCUCCACCAUUUGACAACCCAAGAGUUGAGGAACAUCCACCACCAAUUCAUCAAAGACCGAUGGCGGAAAGGACAAUGAGAGACUACACCAUGCGUAAUCUUUACGCUGUGGAAGGAAGCAUUAACCGCCAAGCGAUUAAUUGGGGAGGUCACAAUGAACACAAUCAAUGUGAAGUUCAACUACUUAUGAAAUAAGGGGUACCUACAAUCAAUGGGGUCCUUACAAUCAAGAAGUACCCAACUUCAACCCACCUAGGCCUAAUGCACCAUAACAAGCUCCGUAGCCAUUUAGGGUAGCCCAAGAAACUAUGAGAAAAUUCGCCUAGAAUAGCAACCCUCUAAUACCCAUUCAUGUGAGUAAACUAGAGGAAGGCUUGCAUUCGAUGCAAGCAGAAGUGUGCCUAAUGCAAGGUCAAUUGCGCCAAAUUUUUCAUAUGCUACAAAGUAGUGCUUCCUUUAGCAUAUCAAGAAAUAUUGAACCAAACCCGAAGAGGGAAGGGAAAGAACAUGCUACGACCAUUACCCUUAGAUUUUGAGUGGUGGUUAAAACCCUAUUAGACUGGUGAAUGGAGAAGAGGUAGUAGAGAAGGAAGAGAACACCUACACUCCUAGUGGUGGACAUAGGGUAGGAGAGAGAGUAGAAGCAGAAGUUGAUCCCAAACAACCCAAACCUCAGGAUAGGCCCAUUGCACCCUCAAGUCAAGUACCCGUACCUUUUUUGACCCGUCUUGAGGAAAAAAAAAGAAAAAGAAGAGUAAGGAAUUUCCAAUUUUCAUUUACAUGUUUAAGGCGUUGAGUGUUAAUCUCCUGUUAUUAAAGCUCUUAGAAAAAUUUUGAAAUAUGUUAAGUUUCUAAGGGAAGUUAUGUUCCAGAGGAAGAAGAUUGGGAGAGGAAAACAUAUUGCUCUUAACGCUAAGUGUUGUGUGAUUGUGCCCAUAAAAUUUCCCCUAAAACUCAAUGACCCGGGCAGCUUCAGAAUCCCUAUAGAAAUAGGAGUGAAUUACGAGAAAGCCCUUUGUGAUUUAGGGGCUAGUAUCAACCUCGUGUCAUUAUCAAUUUAUUAGAGGUUAGUAUUAGGGAACUUUAGGGAGACCUCAAUGACUUUGCAACUUUUCAAUUGCCCUUUUUUUCCUUCCUAAGGGAGUCUUUGAGGACGUAUUAGUUAGAUUUAGGCAAUUCAUCCCAUCAGUGGACUUUAUUGUGUUAGACUUUGAGGAAGACCUAAAAAUCCCUAUCCUACUAGGAAUGCCAUCUUUGGUAGCCUCUAUGGCAACUAUAGAUGUCAAAAAAGGGGAGUUGACGAUAGACAGAGAUGGGGAGGUCAAAAUCUUUAAGUGUGUUGACCCCAACCUUAGUUCUAAUGAGUCAUCACUCUCUCAAGGGUAUGAGUGUUAAGCAGUUGAGAUAAUAUCCUAUCAUGCCACUGAUCUUGCAACUAUUAUGAAAUGAUGUGAACUUAAAGUUUUUAGCUCAAUGUGAAAAAAAAAGAUCCAAAAACGAAAGAAAUUUAGUAAGCCAUGGCGAUCCUAAAGUAGCCUCAGUCAGGUGAUGAACAAGAUGUGAAUUAAAGUAUCGAGCACACCACAUUAGUACCACUUCGGGGGCAUAACUGAUCACCUUGAAGCUAAUUUGUAAUUUUUCUAGAAGGUAAUUCAAAUUAAGUUUGUAAAUAUUUGAAUGAUCCGAGCACGGAGUCCGUUUGUUUUCCUUGUUUAGUUUAGGUUUAAAUUUGAGCAUGUUUAAUUUUUGCACUUGGUAGGGUAGAUUUUGGAUAAUUGGGAGAUUAGAUGAUAAUUUUGUAUGUUUUUUGGGCACCCUUCUAGUCGUAUUGCGAUAUCCAAGAGGGAAUAUCACGAUAACCUUAACAGUCUAGGGGGAUGCUCAAAAUUUUCUAGAUAUUGCAAUACUGGUCCCUUGGUAUCGCAAUAUCCCUAGCUAUUUCAAAAAUAAAAAAAUUGUCAAAGUUAUAAUGGUAUUGUGAUACCAGUAUCUCGGUAUCUCGGUAUCGUAGUAGUUUCAAAAUAAAGGGUACAAAGUGAAAGGGGUAUCACGAUACCCACCUUCAGUAUCGCAAUAUCUAUGUUAGGUCGUGAUCCCCAAGGUUUGGAGGCUUUUUAAGCCUCCAAACACCCUAACACCCAGAUCUCUUUCAUUCUUAUGCCCUAUUCGUUUUCAAAACACUCCCAUCUUCAUCUUCUCCUCUAUUUUCCUUUUUAACCUUCAUUUACUUUUCUCACAAAUUUGCCUAUUUAGUAUUAUUUCUUCUUCUUUUCAUUCUUAUUUGUAGGUUUUCCUUCUCCUUGCCUUGGAACAAUAGUACUACAUCCCCUCCAACCGCUUUGCCAUUGCCAUCAAUACAUUUUUAUCGUGUCAAAUUCCUUUUCCCUUUGUUUUCUUUGAAAUUUUUAUUUUUUUAGUGUUGCACUAUUGAUUUGUCUAUUGGUUAGUUUAUUAUUUGUUAAAAAGCUUGAUUAAAUUGUGAGGUUAGUAAAAUGUCGCCUAGACAAACUAAACGAACUAGGUCUCAAUCGAACCCUCUUCUACCAUCGGCGGUGGUUCUAGAGUGAUUUACAAAUAAAGAGGUUGAAAAUUAUUUUAUGUCAAUCCAAGGCGAAACAUUUAUUCUUGAGCAUGGUUCCGACCCAAUUGCUUCUCUUUGUAAUGAGAUUUGGGACUUUGUCUAUUACCAUGGAUGGUUCAAUAUUUUUCUAGUCCCAAAAUCGACUGUGGUUAUCCCCACUGUUCUUGAGUUUUAUGAAAAUUUAAAAGUUUAUGUUGAAGCUGCGUACUGGUUCAGGGAAUAGAGAUUGACAUUUCCCUAAGUGCUAUUAGCGAGCACUAUGGUGUUCCAUGGUAUCAACAAGAUGACAUUGAACAAAUGGAUUUAAAAUUUUAUAAAAUGUCGACAUAGACCUCAUUCUCGCCUACCUAAUGUAAGGUCAAAGGGAAUAGAAAUGGGAAUAGUACAAAAACCUUCCUCUAUCUUUUAAUCAAGUAAUAAUAUUUUCCUUAGGAAAAAUAUAGAUUCAAUUUAUCUCGACCCGUGUUAGUCUCAUGCUCAACACUAACACAGUUAACAAUUUUGUAGCAGUUUUUUUUUCAAUUUUGUAAUGGAAGCGAGUUUGUCUUGGGAUGUGGAUAAAUCAUUAGAUGAAGAAGUGUCUUAGGGAGCAAAGUUGGCAUGUACUUCCCUCAUCUGAUUAUGGACUUAUGUCAUAAGAAGAGGGUAAAAAUGAACCUGACUGAGUAGUUUCACCGCCCCACUUAGGGUAUUAUAGGCAAUACCAUGAUACUUUAGCUUCACAAGUUGGAGUGGUAGAAAAUUUAGGAGUGGAAUCAAAGGCGCAAGCACAAGAUGGAAAUGCCUACGACCCUAAAGAAGAAAACCACAACAAAGAAGGUGUACGAAGGUACAUAGUGGCAACGUAAGUUGUUUGAUAAGGUUCGCUACAACACUCGACUACUCGAGGCGAUAAAACCAUUUAUAAAAAUAUUUUUGAUGAGCCAAGGGAUAGAGGGCCCACAGUGGCCCGAACGAUUGACCAACGCAUCCUUUAGUGGCGAGGAGGAACAAGAAGAAAGAGAGAAAUUGGAAGAGGAAGCAGAUGAGGAUGAUAAAGAGAUAGAAGAUGAUGACCCCGCACUGUAUAUUGAUGAUUUUGACGCGAUUUUCGCUCCCGAGUGACCUACCACGACCAAGUUAAUCUUCAAAGGCCUGAGACCACCGAGGCAUCAGGGCUACUAAAGGUUGGCCAACAAGGGAAAAUGGAAGGAGAUAGUUAGACCGGAGUCGGGCUCUCAUGAUGAUUAGUUACAUGUUUUCACAUUCUUUUCUUUU
rnacentral:lncRNA from 1 species